rnacentral:lncRNA from 1 species
ACCAUCAAAUCCAAUCCCAAAAACACUUGCUCAGACACCAUCAAAUCCUUCGCAAAGUCUUUUUCUUACAAAAAAACAAACGAAAGCAACAAUGAAGCACCAGUUCAUUGUUCUGGCUCUCUUAUUCCUCAUCAACACAGCCCCGACCUCAGCUCAGCCAGCAGCCUCCCCAACAGCCCCAAUGGUCUUGCCGCCGCCACCCGUGUCCCUGGCACCCGUGUCCCCGGCGCCGGAUUCCCCUCCCCCGCCAGCGCCACCCCAAGCCCACCUCUUGAAGAUCCUCCAGAAGGCGGGUGGCUUCACCGUCCUGAUCAAGCUCCUCCGCGGCACCCACGUGUCCGACCAGGUGGACUCGGAGCUCUCCGACCUCAACGACGGCAUCACCUUCUUCGCGCCGGACGAUGCCGCCUUCUCAGCCCUCAAGGCCGGGACCCUCAACACCCUCUCGAACGAGCAGCAGGUCCAGCUCCUGCAGUUCCACAUGGUGCCCACCUAUUUGACCAUGUCCCAGUUCCAGACGGUGAGCAACCCUCUCAUGACCAGGGCCGGCGGCGUGGGCGGCAAGGAGUUCCCGCUCAAUGUCACCACGAAGGGCGACAAAGUCAGCGUCUUCACCGGGGUCGACGGAGCCUCGGUGACGAAGACACUGUUCACGGACGGCAAGCUCGCGGUGUACCAGGUGGACAAGGUGCUCCUCCCCGUCAGCAUCUUCUCGAAGGGAGAAGACUCCGCGCAGGGGCCGGCUCCACCGACGAAGAAGCCAGCCGAGCUGAGUGUCUCGGGCUCGAGCGAAGUCGGGAAGGUGAAGACUGGGGACGUCGUUCGCCUAGUCGUGGGCGUCGGGGUCGCCGGAGUCGUCGCUUCUCUCGGUUUGUGAUCUGAAAAUGGCGAUUCCGGGUUUUUUCAUUCAAUCGGUUUGUAGCUCCUUUUGGUUUCCCAGUGCACAACGUGUCUCUCUUGAAACUGGAUUUCUUUGUUUCUUUGUUUCUUUUGUUUAAAUGUCUCUCCUUUUGUUUCUUCCUUUUGGGUAUUUGUGACAAUCGUUUUGCGAUUCGAAUGUAAUAAAUAUCUUCUCUUUUAAUCUGUUUCGAGUUUCCAUAUGGUAUAAUUGUGGAUAUUUGGAGUCAUAUUGCAUGAUAUCUGCAUAUUGAAAUGGCAUAAUCUAUGCAUCUAACUAAAAAUAUUCUAAAACUAAAGAACCUUGUAGCCGGGCCAGGGAACUUCUUAAUUAAGAAGUUUGUCGACGAUGCACUCAGUAACGUCCCCUUUUCACGGCUUUAAUCGCUGCCAGAAAGCUAUACCAAACCCACUUUGCUAUAUGUUCUAUUAACAUACAGCAAUCUAGGCCCUACCAAACCUUUAUUGAAUUUGAGCCUUGUGCAAGCAAGGAUGAAAACAAGACAGGUUUGAGAGGGUGAAUCUUGUGUCAAAUUUGUCCCAUUAAAAAUGUGUUGUUAUUUGGAACCCAUCCCGAAUCUGUUACGAGUUUCAAAUAUGAAAUCCGGAAUUCUAACUUACUAAAGUAGUCAGGUGUCCAUAACUACCAUAGUGCUAAUAUUUCGCAUCAAACAAAUGAUAAACCACGUUAGAUUUGUAAAUACAGCCACUCAUUCACAUUUCACACGUUGGAGAUCUCUAAUUAGGAAACCUACGGGAACGACAAAAUAGAAGAAAUUGAAAAAAUAAUAAUAAUUAAGAUCAAUGUCUUAAGAAUAAAAAAAAAAUCUAAGAAUCCUAAAAAUGAGAAGUCAGACUUAACGAUCUUGCUACUCCAAGUGUUAGAUUACAAUUGAUUAUGUUUAGGGGUUCACAGAAUUAUGCAAACAGCCUCAAGGUUUUAGCAACAGCAUUUGGGUCUUUAGAGAAACGAUUGAUCAUGUUCAUGUUUCUAAUUCUACUAGUCAGGUAUGUCUAAGAAACGUUUUAAAUGCUAGCAGAAUUCAAAUAAUUAUGAAUGUCUAAAUUACCUAGAAACCAUGAAGGAAAAAUAAGGGCAUUUCAAUAUUUUAUAGAUAUCUAUAUAUAGAGUAGGUAGCGGGUUUCCAAACUAAAAAUCCCCAAGCUAAGACAUGUUGAGGUCGUAAAAGGAAUCGAACCGGUGGGGUGCCCCAUUAUAUCAGCCUUCUUGCCCGAUGUUCUUGCCUGCACUGAUCCGUUACAUCCGACUUGAACUUGGGACCAUCCUUUCGAUAAUUCAAAAUAAAGAAUUUAGUUUAAAUUUUAGUAACUCAUGAAAAAUUAUAGGCAAUGUGACAUGCCAAUAUUUGAAUAUUUCGAAUGAUUUCGGGUUAAGAAAAUAUGAAAAGAGUUCCACAAAAUGUCCCAAAAAUCAUAAGUCACCCAUCGCUCCCUCUUUCCGACCAACACCAGCUUCGCCACCCAUCCCGACCACCUCUCUCUUUCUCUUUCUCUCUCUCUCUAAAGGGAUCACCGUCGACAGCGAACCUCAUCAAAAAACACAAUUUUAAUGUUGCGAAUUUCGAAACGGAGCCUAUGUAAAAUUUUCCAAGUCCUAGAUGACCCAAACUUCUCUUUUGAUAUUAAGAAGUUUUACUAAAAGUUUUCUAUCGUGAGACAAAUAGAUACUUAAAAAAGUCUAUCGUCCAAAACAUUAGUCCUAAUCGUUUUAAUACCCAGCUGAAACUUGUUACACUUCUCCCUAAGAAAAUUGACAAAAUUUCUGGGAAAAUCUAGCAUUUUUCAUUGUUGAAAAUAAUUCAAGUGAUCUGGGCCCCACAAAGCCUGCCGAGUAAGCUUCUCGUUUAGUCGAUUCCAACAUUCAAGUUCGACUGAUCUCCUUCAGAGAUCGCAACUCCCUGAAAAAACAUUAUAUGCUUCUUCUCCGAAGAUGCUUUUCCUUUUUAGAGUUCGUUUUGAAAUGCAACACGAGCAAACUUUAUCUAGUGUCACAACAAGAAAGGACAAAUACCUACUGACGGGGGUCAAGCUUCGUCCCUCACGUGAAUUCCGCCGCCUCGCCUGCUCCUUCCAUGGAAGAACCCACCGAAGGAGAAAACCUACGGAGCUCUCGGUGCACCAAGAAAGGCCUGCUUUCGCUCCCGACUCCUAGAAAAUCUCUGGUCAUGCUGUUCUCAACUCCGUCUGGACUUGCAUGGAGCUUCCGGCUCUCUGUUUGGCCUGCGCUGCUCUCGACUCGACUUGAUGGGUACUGUCUGUACAACACGCGGGGACUGUUCCUGGGUUGUGGAGUGUAGGGGUUGAAGUCGGAAGCUGUAGAUAGUGAUGAUGGGAAUAAUGAUGAGGAUGAAGAUGAUGAGCUCAACACAGCAUUAUUAUUGAUCAGAAGUGAUGCUGAAUUAUUGUUUCUGGUCGAUCCCAGUUGGGCUGCUUUUUGCAGGAGAGCAGUUGCUGACAAGUGACCUGUGCUUCCUCGGUGACUUGGGUGAUUAUUAGAGUACAGAGACCCAAUCGUCUGAUCUGACAUGUUGGCCUUGAUGCUCUCUUCUUGUUUUAUCAGAGAUGCUUCUGAUGAUGCUGGUGUUGAGCAGUUCUUAAGCAUGCCAAUGGGCACCUGUGAUGCUUGAACAAAAUCAGGCAAUAAGCUCCCGGAACUUGGUGUGGUAAAGUAUGAAUCACCGCCGCUUGCCAUUAGACCAAGAGGGUUCAAAUUGGGGUCUACAUGGUUCAUCCAAAUUGGAACCUGGCUAGAUGAACUUUGGCCAUCAAAUUGAUCUGGCAUAGAAAUUGAAAGGUUCGGGGCAUUGGCAGUGCUGUUGGUCAUGGUCCCGUUGAUCAACUCAUUGCCGAAGUUCAGAUUAGUGUUUGCAAGUGAAGUAAAACGAGCGCCUUCUUCUGUUAGAGCAUCGCAAAAGGCUCUGUGGGUGAUAAAGCUAUCUUUCCUGUUUGAAUUGACAAGGAAAAAAAAUGGGAAGAAUCCACAUCAAAUUGUAUACUUCCAAAAAGAAGCAAGAACAACAAUGUUUGUACAUCGCCCCAUUCGAAACUGGGUGCCACUUUUUGCUGCAAAUCUAAUUUCGAGAAGCCAUUCUCUUGCCAUGCAUAGAUCAUAAAUGCAUACCAGUCAUGUGAAUCUUUCCACCCAGAAAAAGUAAAACAACAGCUAUCCACUGACGAACUGAUCACCCGGUUAAUGCAAAUAGGCCUCGGAUCAACCUAGAAUGUGUUCAAACUGCCAUCUAUAAUUCGGAGUCGUGGCCAGGUUCCCGGGUAAGUUUGAAAGAAUCCCGAAUAUUUCAAAUAGAGAAUCCAAGAAGUGUAUUGAGGAAAAAAGAGAAAAGAAAGGACCUCGAAAAGAGGGUUCCGCAGUCGCAUUUAUACUCUCUAGUCCCACAAAUCUUGCUAUGAGCCUUCCAAUCCGACUGAACCGCAUACUUCUUUGAGCACUUCUCGCACUUCCACUUCUUCUCGCCAUGCUUCCGGCUGUAGUGCUUCUUGAUCCCUGUCAAGUCGCCUAGUGCUCUCGACGGAUCGUGGUGCACACAAGUCUCCUCUGGGCAUAUGUACACUUUCCUUCGGAUCAGCUCUUUGUUUGUCCUCUGCUUGAGCUUCCAGGGAAGAUUGUGUCCUCUCCUGUGAAGCUGCAAAUUCUGAUCUCUCUGGAAGCCCUUGUUGCAUAUCUCACAAAUGAACCGGUUUGUCGCCAUGAGCGAUUUCGGCGAUAGAGCAAUGACUUCAGCAUCUGGGUCUGGUCGAAUCCAAUAAAUUCCACAGUAAACAACAGUUUGUAGAGCGAAAAACAAGCAAACGGAAGGUCAAACGAAGUAAUUCUUUCGGGUACUAUUAAUACUUGCCUGGUGUUCCCGGUAAGCUUCUCUUCUUCUUGGAGGGGUUUGAGCUAGGGUUAGGGUUUGUGAGCGAGCUGGGAUCUUGACGAACAAACCCACUGAUUGUGGAGGGAAGAGAGAGACCAUCUCCGGACAUCAUCUGAUCAGAUGUUAGAUUGCCGAGAAGUGAAAGAGGCUGUUUCCUAAAUUUGGUUGAGAAGGGAAGAUGGACUGAGCAAGAAAGCUCAAACAGAGAUAACCAAUAUCUAAGCAAGAGCAACUACAAAAGCUUGAGCUGAUGCAGAUUUCUAAACUAGAGAGAUUCAAGAACAAAUUCUCGGAUCCGUAUUGUGUAUGUAUCUCACUCUCUGUAAGUGUAACUGGGGACUCGAUCUAAGAAAACAAAGAGAGAAUAUUCUCUCUCUUUCUUUCUCUCUCUUUCUCACCCUCCCUCCCUUAUCUUACACGGCUCCUCUUAGUCGGUCAGCCACAGACUCAGCUGGACCACCCCUCCCUCUCCCCCUUUCUCUCUCUAUAUGUUUCUUUUCCGAAAUCUUCUCUUCCCUAUAUACCAUUUUGAUUCCCAUCGCCUUCUGUAUUUUUCAUUUCUUUAUGCGUUUAACCCUGCGGGUAGUCAAUCACUUUGUAUGCAAGAAACGAAAAGGGAUAGGAUAAUAGGCUUUUCCCCUUUCGUAAUUGUGAGAUCCAGACGGAAAAGAAAGCUGACUUUCGACUUUCACUGCUACUAUUCACCAGGAAAAAAUGAUUACCUUAUUAUACUCUCAUUAUACUCUCUCUCUCUCUCGCUUUCUCUAUGUAGUCCCGUGAGGCUUGACUGAACAGAAAGAGGGGUCCCGCCAGGCUCGGGGUACAGCGGGACUGAGAGAGAGAGAGAGAUUAAAAAAGAGAAAAAAGUUUGAAAAACACAAAAGAGACAAGAGAUGACUGAUACCUCUGCUUGACGUGUCGACGACCUCCUCAACCACAGCCACGUUCCUCUAGAAAACCAGAAGGAAAAGAAAAAAAAUUCCCUCUUGCUUCGGUAAUUUGUACUCCUUCCUGCAUUUUUCGAGUACGUUUUUUAAAUCUUAUGGAGUUAUUUCUCAAGACGCUAAAGAAAGACAUCAUCAAUAUACAAUGAUUUGAAUUCAAUGUAAAAAGAAUGAUUCAAACGACUUUAUUACAAAAUAGAUAGUUGUACGAUUUCUAUUAGCAACAUAACCAACGUAAAACAUUUUUCACACUUGCAAUCGUGAAAGUAAAAUAAGUCCAUGGAGCAUUGCAAGCCAAGUGAAAUAAGGCCUAGCCUCUCACUUGUACAAGUGACUUUGACUAGAAAUAGUUUGUCAAUUAGUGAAAUUUGAAUGAGUGACUUUUUGUUUGUGAGAUAGAAAUUUCUUGAUACCCCGAUUACGCUAACAAUGAGAAGAGAGACUAAUUUGUAUUUUAAUGAGUAAAUGAAAGAAUUUUUGUUGUUAUGUAUGUUAAUAUAUCAAUUUUUUAGUAUUUUUUGUAGCCUUCCUUGGAUAGAGUAUUUUACUAAAUUUAUUUCUCAAUGGUUACCCGACGCAUUCCCGAACUUUCCCGUUACAAAUUACCCAUAAAAGAACAUUCGUGGUCUAAAAUUGACUGCCAUCCUCUAGCAAGGAGAGUUCCGUUAUAAGCAACGUCCUAAGUUUUGUCCUAAUGAAAGUCAACCUCAUGAGCAGAAACUAUGGACAGGAUUACAUGUUCUUGUAUUGACUUGUUUUGAAAAGAUUUAAACGUUAAAUGUCGUCACGUGAACGUUGAUUUGUUUUCAAUUACAUACUCUUAAAUUCACAUGUUUUCAUAGCCGAGCGUGCAGCUUUCUAGGGUUAUCUGCGUCGAGUUUUUCUUUCCUUUCAAUCUGUCAUUGAUUAUAAUCCUGAAAUGAAUAAUGCUUUUCGUGAUUAGAUUAUAUAUUCAAAAAUAAAUAACGAGUGCAAAGAAAAAUUUGAACUGGUGUCCCACAGAAGUACGGCGCUCGAAACAAAGGGAGGUUCCCAUUAUCUAUGUAGCGAAGCAGGAGCGAAUGUUUGGAAUGGAGCGGUUGGAAUUUCCCUAUCGGAGCACAUGCAUGUCGAUUAUUGCCAUGGACAUGAGCGGAGACCACAUACCAAUCGGAAACCCUAAUUCCUUUCUUUAUAUCGACAAAAAAGAUCCAACUUCAACUUGUUGUGGGGAAAAAAACAUUAUGGAAAAUCUCAUCUGGUGGGUGCUGCUUAUCAUAUCAUAUGUAGCGUGGAGUUAUCUCUAUGGGCGUUUGCGUGGAAGAAUAUUGCGUGCUCUCAUUCAUUUUGGAUCCCCAUAUUUGAACUUUAUUACCCCGUUUGAGUUCACAAGAAGAUCUAACCAAAGUGAAGCGUUUAAGGAUUGGAGCAGCGGAAGGGCCAGAACCACGACAGUUUAUUCAACACGAAGUUAUAAGAUGUCGUGCAGAGAGAGAGGGAGAGAGAGGAACGGAUGGCUGGCAUGCGAAGGCGGUGAAGGUCCCGCAACCUUGGAUGGCGAAGGCCCGAAGGCAAUGACACGACGGAGGAGGUGAUGACGUGACAAAGAUGGCUUAGCUCCGAGGAAAAGGAGGAAGCAAAAGGGAAAAAGAAAAGAAAAUUAAAAGACUGAAAAAAAGUGGAAAAGAAGUUUAUACAAAUAUAUAUUGAAAAUUUGUUUGUAGAACAAAUUAAGUGUGUUUCCUUGCUCCACAUAGGAAAUGUGGGAGGAGAUGGGCCACUUAAAAAGUGUGAGAUUUCUUUAGUAUAUCUAAAGAAAAGAUUGAGUGUGCGUUAGACCCCACCAUACUAGCAUACGGGUACGUGAAUAAUUGCGUGAUUAUUAGAUGUACUUAGCAUUUUGCAUGCUUACCGCCCGUGGUUUAAUUAGUACUAACCCAUUUGAUUUUAUUAAGAAUUUUUUGGAAAAUGAAAAUUCUAAAUUUUAUUUCUUAAAAAAUAUUUUAUUUUUUAUUAUUAUGAAUUUUUAUAUUUGUGUCUUUUUAAGAUAACUUUUGAAAAUAAUAUUCGUUCAGUUUGCAAGCUUUUCCUGAAGGGUUUCAUUUGUUCAUUUUUCAACUUCUUCCAAAUGAACACCUUUGUUCAUUUUGCAACUUCAUGAUAUAUUCGUUUACUUUGCAAUUUUUCAUGAAGAAUUGCAUAUGUUCUUUAAGACCGAUUUAUAUAUAUAUAUGUCAGUUUUCCAAAUGAACGAUGAUGAGAUUUUUCGACUUUUCUUCUCAAAGCUACAAUUAUAUUUUUAAUUGUUUCCUAAAGAGACUCUAGAAAAAUACAAGAAUUGCUAUCUAGUAGUAGUAAUCUCGUUUUGAGAUUUUGUUAUAUCCUGACUGGUGACUCUUAGCAACUUUGUGGGGUAAAUAAAUCUUUAAAGAAAGUAAUACAACUCCUCAAAAUCCGACUUGAUUACUUUAUUGAUUCGAAACCAUAAUUUCCAACGAUAUAUUUAUAUAUUCUUUCUAUGUAUAAGGUAAAUUUUCCUCUCCAAUUUGUCCUUCGUGAUAGGACCAUAGACAGCUCAUUUGGUUCCAAUCCAGAUGGGUUCUAUCUUUUCUUUCAUCUUUUUAGGUUUCCUUUCUUCUUCCCCCACCCAAGUCCUAUUCUGGAGAGAGAGAGAGAGAGAGAGAGAUAUGCUGUAGUAGGUUGAGGCUGGCGGUUGUUAGUCAUUGUCGGCGACGGCGGCGGUGGCAGCUCUGGCUUUGAUCGUGGCUUGACGAUGUGUUGAUGUGCGGGCUAAGCCAAUGUGUGUACAUUACAUGAGGGUAAAUUGCAUGUGCCAAUCUACCCCAACAAUUACUCUAGGAUUGUGUUCGGUAGUCUGGUUUGAAUCUGAAUAAAAUAACAAAUUAUCACAUUCGAUAUUUCGUGCGUUCUUUGGCCUAAAUAAACUCAGAUACAUUUGGAUAAAAUACCAAAUGAGAAAUCUGGCCUUGGGGUGUGAUACCUAGACUGGAUAUAAAAUUUUACAAAAUAACAAGAUGAGUGACUCAUCAUAUAUUGCUUUGCCGGUGGCAUCGCAAGGACACUACCAAGAGAUCAUCAUCACUUUUGACCACUGCACGAUCAUUAUCGCUUUCAACCAGGCCAAUCGUCACUCCUAGUUGGCAAUCAUGUUUCAACGAGUGAAGGUGAAAAAGGGUCUAAAGACAAUGUCAUGCUAGGUUUGCAUAGAUCAUCCUUUCCACCCUAAUUACAUAUGCCCUCCACGUCGAGCUCGCCCUUUCAAACGUGACUUGCGAGCUGCCUAUUCACCUAUUGGUUGACGAAGAAUGGCCAGCACACCAUUGCCUUCCCUAAUCGAAAGCUUUACUAUCUUAACAUCGGAAACGACACAUCCCCUGAAUUGACUGUAAGAUGCUCUCGUGGAACUACGUGAUCAUUCAUGAUACACCAAAUCACCGAGGAAGAUUCACUAUAUAUGGAAAGGAAUCGAAGCAACUAGCUAUCGCUGUUCCUUUUGUGAGAAUUGAAUCAUGUUACGCCAUUCCCAUCCGUCGUCGGCUCGCACGAUCACGGGCACACUUGAAUCUCGAACCAUCUCUAGAUGAUAAUUGGGCCCGACCCCGCAUGUGGGGCCUUUAAGUUGGUCUCUUCGAUACUUCGUUCUGUCGGGCCCAAGAAAAAAGUAGAAAGAACAUCAGAUCUGAAAAACAGGAGAUGCGUACGGGCACAUGCUUCACGUAGGUCCCUCCUUUCAUUCAUCGACAAAGAGGUGCUAUUCAGCUCGUGACAUUCAAUUCCAUUUGUCUGAAUCCCCCUCAUCGCUCGACGAAUCCGAAGAAAGAAUCGUGUUAGGCAAAGGUCUGAAUUAUAAUGUGAUCAUCUCGAUUCCUUCCAAAAAUGCUAUGAUUAAGUUUCUUGAACUCACUACAUGUUGCUCUUCCCUCGAAAACUCCUUUCAUCGUCAGCAUGUGUAUGUUCUAAGAGCUUUGAGCAGAUUGGCAAGAUGAUUGCCUCUUUCGCAUGAAUUUCUAUAGCAUCGUUGCAUGGGGGCAGGAGUUGACAUUGGGAUGGGCAUCCUCUCCAGUUGAAAUUAACUAGAACACCCCUAGACUUAUAAAAGAGUAAUCACCACAAAAACCUGAAAACCUAAUCUCUCUUCUCCCUCUCCCCCCUUGCCUCCGCCUAUGCCGUGCUCACCUCACCUUCGUGCCUCGCCGCCGUUGUCAUUUCGCUCCCCACCACCCCGUCAUUUUGCGCCAUGAACUCAUCCACUGCUCUAUGUCUAUGCGUGUCUUUGUUUAUAAAUGAAAAUAAAGAGCUCCUGCGAUGGUCAGGACCGCCAUGAGACGGGUAAGCGACUUUCGAAUCUAAGAUUGCUUGAGGCUUAGCGUGGUGGUGGAUUGUGGAAUCGGGGAAGAAGGGCUACAGGUGAAAAUUAAAGAGGUAAGAAAAUGAAGAAGCAAAGAUUGAAUCCGAGUCAUUCGUGUCAUCCUUUCCAAGAUAAGUUGAAGAUGUCAAUUAACCUCCUGAGGAUCUCAAUCAUUAACAUUACAGGUUCGAUAAUGGUGGUUCUCCCAGUUUUUUGGAAUUUUAUGAAAUUGGAUUGGCAGUGGCGUGCGACCCUUUAUGCAUUUACCUUCUUUAUAUGCAUCACGGCUGGAAACUGGUCCAGACAAUAAUGCAAGCACCACCCAAGGUAGAGAGUUCUUAUCCAUCGCGUGAUGAAUAAAGUUGAGCGUUUAGGUUUUAUAUUCCGUGUCAUUGAGUAAAUCGUUUUUGGCACAUAGAAUCAUUUCAUUUACUCUUAUUACCGAUUGAUCACAAUUCUGAAUAAUUUUUUAGCAGCGGAAAGAUCAAGGGUUUUCAAUAGCAAAUUUGUCCAAAUGCUCCACCCGGAUACAAACUCUUUUAAAGAAUUAAGUCGCCAGAACAUUAAUGCGGAAGUAAAUAAGACAUGAUUAACUAUAUGACUAUGCAAACCUAGAUUAUCUUUCCGAAAGAGAAAAGGACAGGUUUUCCCUCCUAGGAUCAUUUUCAGAAGUCGAUGUCAAUCGACAUGAACUAUGCGACUUAUGAUGUUGAGCGACCUUCUUUUUUUUUUUUUCCAAUUUUUACUUUUUUGAGUUCCUGCUGUGAUGCAGUCAAUCGCAAGUCUCCAGGAACUAAGUCCACCCACAGUCACAUCAACAAUCCCAUACUCCUUCGGGCAGAAAAAAAAUUGAGAAAUGAGCACAGAGUGGACAGCAUCGCAUUGGAUCCUAACGUGAUCUUCCUCCUCCGCAACAUGACACGUAAAUCGAUCGGAACAAGGGGUCGACCAAGUAGCAUGCGAUGCAUGUAACCUUGGAUAUCAUCGCCUUGUAGUUAUCGAAGAUUCCUUUGCAAGUGACCUUCUCUUUCCAAAUCAUGUCUCUCUUAAUGAAAAGAAAAAGUAAGAUGUUUUUUUUUCUCUAUUUUCCCAAGAGAAAGACCACCCUAAUUAUGUAAAUUUGCACCUAUAGAACGUACAAGCGCGACAAAAAAAAAAAAUCGUAUAAGACGUGCGGCACCAAUCUUCACAUGGAAUGGGAGAGGCCUCCUUGAAUGAUUACACUUUAGUAAUUUUACACCUAUAAAAGUAUAUAAGACAUACUUCAUAUUCUAAUGGUCAUCCUUGUGUGGUUACAUUUUAGUAUUUUGUUUUGAAGUCUUGACCUUAUAUAUGAAUCGAGUAGGAUUAUUGCAAAUAAUAUCAAAACAAAAUGCUCUCUCUGGAGCCGUCAAUAGUGUCGAGCUCCUUGCAAGCUAACAAGUCUCUCACAAAUCGGUGGUAGCAACGACAAUAAUAAAGUGGAUAAUAUUAGGCCCAAAUAAGCGACCAAAGAUGGGGAUAGAUUAGUAUUUCAAGAAAACACAAACUAAUUUUGUAGAACCAAUCCCGGCAAAAGUUAUGCUUCUACGAGGAAAGUAAACUAGCAAUAUAAACAACAGAAAUUAAAAAAAUUGAUGGAAAGAAAAAUUGCAAAAGAGAUUCAUAAAGGUUCAGCUUAGGUGUGCUUACUCUUUUCUUCUUGCUAUAGUUGCCCAAUUAGGCCAAAUUCCAGAAGUUAUGCCAGGAAUACGAAUACCGCAUUGUUACAAGUGCAGAAUCUAUUGUCGUGGACAACCCAACUUCUGUCUACAGCAAUACCGCUGUAGACUAAUUAAUUAUUGGAUCCUCAAUUAAUUGUUAUCAGCACAGUAGGUCCUCUCGCACACUUCUUCUAAGAGUGUACAAAGAGUCUCUCGAACACUUUAUCUACCACCUAGGCAAAUGCUUUCACCGUGAGUACAACCACUCCUCUCGUGCGUAAACAAAUUGGUUUGUCACUCUUACUAACUCUUAAGAACGACUUGCAAAUGGGCUUUACAAGCUUACAAAAGAGACGGACUCAAAAGUCUCUCAACAAUGCUCGGUUUCUCUUGUUUUCGUGCUUGUCAAUUGGAUAUCUUCUGGCCGACUUUUCUCCUUUCUAUAGAGGUCCAAUUUCAAACGUUGCAAUUGAAUCUUGUAGAUGUUAUAUCAUCUAAUCUUAUGUAAAAAUCUCAGCAAAAUCCUUAAAAAAACACACGCAGAACCUUGCUUCGAUCUGGAGCAUUAACGAGAUCUCUAUACUAAUGGUAGGUUUUGAUCACACCGUAUCACCGAUUUCCCAGGGAAUUAGUCCAUGAUUCUUGGCAUAUAUGAUCUUGAAAAUCAUAUUUUAUCUGAUUACAUGGAACACUUUGCAAGCCGCAUAAGCCAUGUGCAAUGUUGUGACCUCUUCUAUUAUAAUAAAAAUUUUAUUCUAGCAAAAAGAAAAGAGAAAAGAGAAAUACCUGUCAUCAACCAGUUAAAUUCAGGUCAAUUCCCAUGCAUUCCAAUUCUCAAGUUGGCCAUAUUACCCUCUGUUCAAUCUACAUCUGACUUCGGACCGGUGAAACCAAUGCCCUAUCGUCCAUGGGAAUAUAGACAAUAUAUAUCCUCAUCUCAAUAGAAGUUUCUGCUUAAAACAUUGGCAAAAUACCACGUAAUUUCGUUGCCACCUAAUGCAUGAUUUCAUACAUGUAGAAUAUCCGGUUCAAUCCCGGUCUGAAAGUAUCUCGACUCAGUCAAUUGGCCGAAAUUCUUCCAACACCAGAAAAGAAACAAAUCAAGGAAUAAUACAGGAAAAAUGAAUGAUUUCAUGCAGAUAAAUGCUAAAAACCGUAGUCAUUAGUCUACGUGGAGCGGCGACGCCACGACGUCUGAACACGUCCUAGCUCGAAUCUCCUCCACCCACCUAAGCCGUCACUCUCUUUCUUACUAAGCAAAUCGAGAUCUUAAGCUUGAUCACCGGCCGUGGUGCAUGAAGCUCACGUAGAGGAGGAGCAGGAUGCGGACGAACCGGGGUUGCUGUCUCCAUUGACAUUUCCUAAACGUGCACGUAAACAUUGAUCCGUCCUCUCGUUUCCCGUUUGGUCUCUUCCUGUUUGAUUAUCUGGAACGUUGUCCUCAUCUGCAUGAAAACGAAGGACCCCACGGAGUACGACGCGUUGACGCUGAGCUUUCGCGUUAUAGCUCCCGCUAGCUCAUUCACAGCUAUUCACAAUCGGUAUCAUCGGCGCCUAAUCCGCUUCAUCAUCAUCAAUGAUAAGAAUCUCCGCGGGCUACCACAGUUGGCGACCAGUAGUCUCCAAUGGAUCUUUGGGUGGAUGCUGCGCAGCCGGCGAGAAGUUUUCCAGCUGCUUUCCCUCCUGGCUUCAGGUUUCAUCCCACGGACGAAGAGCUCCUUGUCUAUUACUUGAAGAAUAAGGUGGCCUCACGCCUGGUCCCGGCAGAGUUGAUCGCUGACAUCGAUCUCUAUCAGUACAAUCCAUGGGAGCUACCAAGUCCGUGUGCUGGGAACCUCCAUUUUCUUUGGUUAUUUAUAGCCUUUAGGGCAUUUAUUUUUUGGAACCGAUGUUUUCGCAUUUGCUUCGCAGAGAAGGCAUUUUUUGGGGAAGGCGAGUGGUACUUUUUCAGCCCAAGGAACCGAAAGUACCCGAAUGGAGGGAGGCCGAACAGGGCAGCAGGCUCAGGUUACUGGAAAGCUACUGGGAUUGACAAGCCAAUACUCACAUCCGGCGGGACGAAGAGCAUCGGAGUGAAGAAGGCUUUGGUGUUCCACAUUGGACGGCCUCCGAAGGGGAUGAAGACGGAAUGGAGCAUGGACGAGUACAGGCUGAUCGAUGCCACCGUCCGACCGCCCAGAUCGAAACGGUCAAUGAGAGUAAGUGGGAUAAUUGUGAUUCGAAAUAGGGGGUUUCAUCACUCGUUUGAACUGUACUUCACAAUGCAAUCCGCUCCAAACCCACAAAUCGGGAUGAACUAUCUUUCCCCCGAUCUAAAGACAGUCUCGAUUUGGUGUCGUUGCUGCAUUCUAUGCAGGAACAGAACACCUAGUGUAACUUGUGGUCAGGUCUGAUCGAGGCAGGCAGAAUGCCUGGGCUGUUUGCGAGAUUCCUCGAGUGUCUAGUAUCUAGAUGUGCUGGAGGUAUCAUAUCAGAUAUGGUCGAGUAUAAUGACGCCAUCUCCAACUGUUAAUAAUGGUGCACUAGUUGUCCCUCUACGUUUCUUAGCGAAGUCCCUGUAUUUCUGUAAUCUAAGGUGACAUCGUUACCUUAACUAGCGUGUAAAGAGUCGAAUCUAAAAUAAUCGCCUCUUACUACUGCAGUUGGAUGAUUGGGUACUCUGCAGAGUGAGACAGAAAGAGAAAGUUCCGAGAAACGCUGGCAGCCACCAUGGAGACUUCAGCAGUAGCACAAAGGCAGCACCAUCUUACCCCAAAAAGAAUGGUGAAGCGCUUCCUGUGCACACCGGCCUCUGCAAAGAAGUCGCCAUGGAAAAUCCCUUCCAAGAUUGCUUAGUAAUGGCUUCCCUACUCUCGGGUCAAGUCCACUGUCCCAUGAAUUCAGUCUCUAGUAUAAGCUCUCAAGCGCCCGACAACAACGACACCUUAAGGUCUGUGUAUGAAGAAAGUCCCGACAAACUAAACUCUUAUAGCACAGGUUCUUCCAUGGACAACAAUGUCAACAUAUUUACAACGGAACUUGUAGAGCAAAAAGGGUUCAAGGAUCAGCAGGAAAAAAUGCUGGGUGUGGAUGGUAGUGAUAUCUACAACUACACUCAAAGCCAAUGCAACGAAAACGUAUAUAACUUUGCCAGAUGUGAUUCUAUCCUCAACUUUCAGGGGCUUAAUGACUUAGCCAAGCUCUAAGUUAUGGCAAUGACACGGAAAGAAUGAGAAUUUGUGCUGUUUUUAGUGGUCCUGCAGGAUCUGCAGAAUCCGCUUGACGUGUAUAGAUUUCAGAGUACCAGUUAAAGAAUAAAAUGGACUCAGUCCCAAGAAACACUGCAAGUCUUAAGAGUUUCUGCACUUGGGAGCGGGCUAUAAAUACUCGUUUAUAUGUAUAUUAACUGAAUCACAACUUUUGAUGUCUCAAUGUAUCAUAGGUUCACAAAGUUCACGCCAACAAGUAAGAAAUGCAAUGAUGAACUCUCCUGAAGCAAUUUACAUCAUAAGUUGUAAUCAACCUCGAUGUUAGCUUGUCUUCAUGCUUCUCUUGCAGAAAAAAGUGCUAUCACCAAAGGUGCUACAUAUGCUGUGAACCAAUUCAGCAUAAGUUAACAUGACUGCAUUGCCCGCUUCCUUAGAAAGGACAGACAUCAUAGCCAGUGAUAAAAAUCAGAAUCGCUCUUUCAUAUAGUGGCUUCAACUGAAAAUUUACUGCACAAAAUCCAUAUGCCCCACAGAGUCAGAGGUCUGUUACUUGAAUGGUGAGAUCCUGUAUUUGGUAAACCCAGAAGUUGAAUAUGCAAAAGAUAUGGCAGCGUAUGGUCUUCUGUGACAAAUAUACCACAACUCUAAUUAGUAAGCUUGUCUUCAUAAACAUAUAUUACCAUACGUGUGAGAUCAAACGACCUGCUAUCCUUGUCCUCUUAAAUCAUCUCAGUGCACUGCAAGAGACAAACCCAGAUGUCAAUACAAGAUCCUGAACUUUGUCCCUGUGUGUGUGUGUGUGAGAGAGAGAGAGAGAGAGCGUGAAGCUUACUUAUAUAAAUAAGAAACAAUGCCCAGGAUAACGCAAAGGAGAAUAAUGUCGAUGCAGAAGUUUCGGCUGGAUCUUAUCUUCAUUUAUAAAAGGAAACAUAGCAACUAAUGAGAACAAGGCCUCUCUGUUGACAUGAUAGAAACUAGUAACUAGAAUUGGUCUGUAAGAGAUCAUCAGCAUCAAUCACCUUGAACAGAGUCUCCUUAAGUCUGACAUUCGUAUUUUUAAGAUCAGAUGCUGCUCUGUCCACCUAAAUGGAACGAGAAAGCAAACUCACUAUUUGAGUAGUUCCAAAACAGGAGGUUUAACAUGAAGCAACAAAGUUCUCACCUUAUUAUCGAUUUCAUCCACUAAAGGAACUUGUCUAUCCAACUCCUGAACAUAAAAACAGAAUUAGUCUCUUCAUCGAUUCGUUUUCCCAAAAACCAGUUCCACUAUAUAUAUGUUCAACUAAACAACCUCAUUCAUAUCAUGGGCCAGAUCCUUCAGCGUAUCUAAUCCUUCUGAUAUCACAUCAAGACCUUCAUCCUGUGGAAAGACCGAAACAUCAAAACAAAGAACAAGGGCAGGCCACAGACUUCAAGAUAUCUGUAACUGAUUCGAGAAGAAACUAAGGAAGCAGUCUUACAUGCCUGUUUCAUCUUGCGCAUUUCAUAUUCAUGCCUAAACUGGCUUGCUUCUUCAGUUUGUUGGAAGAAACCAUCCUGUAAAUGUCCAUCUGAACAGGCACGGAAUGAAAGCGACUAUGAGAAACCACUGCGGUAGGUAGCAAUUGGGAUAGAAUAAAUUGCAUCAUGGUCUAACAACCUGAAGAGUCAAACUUGAUGUUCUCACGAGAUGUCGAAGCGGACCAUCCUCCAGAUUGUUUGUGCGGUGCAAUGGUCCCAUCAGGUAUGGCUUGAACCCUUUCUUGUAGUGCAAGAACCAGAUCAUUCCGAGUCAUUUGGUCAUCUUUAGACAGCCCUUUAACCUAAUAUAAGAGUAUUACGAGUACAACUUACGAUUACCACCAAGCUUUAUGCAUGUUGAUGAUGAUCAUACGACAAUAAAUGAACUCCGAAGAAAUUGAAACCCAUAUGCAUUGUCCCUCGAUCACUAUCAUCAUGCCACAAUGCCAGGUAUGAGCACCACAAAGAAAGCUAUUAGAACGGUUGUCCCUUUCAUUUCUAUUUCGUCACCAUUAUUGGGGAGUGACAGAAGGUGUUAUAAGUGCCUAUGUCCUGUCGUUGUGCAUUCUGAUUCAGACAGAUCAGAGGCAUUGUAAAUAAUUUCAAUGUGUUUUCUGCAAGUGAGGACUUGAGCUGACGAACAUCCAAGCAAGCAUGGUCAACGUUUAAUUCACACAGAUAAUAACAAUGUUAUUCUUGCCGCUUUCACUCUGACAUUUGAUAGCUAGAGCUUUUUUACAUGGGAAUUUAUUGAAGAAAGGAUGAUGAAAAGGAAACCAAGCACGUCCCAUGUUAAAUUGCAACAACACUGGACCAAGAGGGAAGUGAACCAACCUAGACAUACAGUCACUAUACGAUCAAACAUUGAGCAUACGGACUUCAUCCAGGCACAUAAGUGUAGACCCUUUUACCAGGUCGGCAUAUGAAACACAAUUUGCUGAACUAUGACCAUAUUGCAGAUUCAGGGCAUAAAACUACAAAUUCACAGUAAUGCUGGAGGCACUAAUAAAUCCUUCUCAUGACUGAUGUCACAAUUCAUGCCAUAAUCCUCUGAUUAGUUCCAUUAACAGUAGGAUCCCAGAAAGAAGUGGGUGGUUUUUUUGUCAAAAUAUCCAAGUAAGUGAUAUGCCUAAUUCUAGAAGAACGCAUUCUCAGUCUCAUCCUCAAGCGCAAAAGCAUUCGUAUAAGCUGCAGGAAGUUACCUUCUUUUGAGCCAACUUGUACAGCUUAGCGAUCUCCUCCAUCAACCGGGCCUUCGUCCUCCGGACCUCUGCGUUCAGUGCCGCCGAGGAAGCCCUGUUCGUCUCCACUGCCGCCCUCUGGGAUUUCUGUCCACAUUGAUAGACGUAAACCGAAAAAUGAAACACCCUUUACUCGACCAACUUGAUCUUUUCCAGACAUAACUGCCACAAAAGCACGCAUUGCCAGCUCGAGUACAAUCGUCCUCAAAGAAUUCUAUGAACAUUUACCAUGCUGAAAAUACGGUUUUCUUAAACAGCGUCGGACGUAAAACUACGCUAACCCAUUCUACGUCUUUCCCGAAAUCAUGUGUCACGUGUCCGGCAGUUCAACAUGUCAAUGUCCAGAUAUCGUCUUUCACGCAAGAGGGUCAGCUCGGACACGACGAAGCGGCGCAUUAAAAGCAAGGAACACACAAUACCUCGAGGGCGGCAUCGAGGUCAGAUUCGACUGCAGAGUAGAGGCGAGCGAAGGCGUCGUCGCCGUGGGCAUUGCGGUCGCGCUGCUUCUCGACGUCAUACUUGUCGAACUUCUUGCAAAUGGCGUCGACCCUGAACCGGAUGUCGAUGACGCUCAUCUUCUUCUCCUUCUUCUUCUGCUUCUUCCCUAAGCUUUGUCCGUGGGAAUGGAGGACAGAAACGCGAAGCCCACGGGUGGCGCGACCUGUGGAAAGCUCUCGCGACGGACGGUGGUGUUUCCAUGGGGUGGCGAAACGAGGGAUCGACCGCGAAGAGCGGGCUGCGGACGGUAAGGAGAGGCCUAACCGCCGCUUUUCUUGGCGGGUUCGGCUCCCAACCGUUCGUUUCAAUUGGCGGUUGUUUUACUUCCAUCAACCCAAAUUAAUUUACCAUUUCAAGGUAAUUAUUUAUGACUAAAAAAGGAGGAAUUAAGAAAUAUAUGGAAAAUAAAGGAGGACGUGUUACUUUGACUGAGAAUUUGAGGAAAAAAGUGAGUUUCUAAAUGAUUUGAUGAGAGCAAAUUUAAAAUUUUUGGGUUCAUAAAGUUGCGAAUUUGAUAGUAUGACAACCACAUAUUAGACGAGAAUCAAAAUAUUUUUAAUGUUUUCUUAACUUAAUAGGGAUAUUACACACAUUUUCUUAAUUUUUUUCAUGUUAAUUUCAAUUUUGCGGUUAUCCUUUAAAGAAAUAAAUGCGUUCCCUAGUUAAAUAGAUUAAUGCGGUGAAAUUGACGAUUUAAAGACGUAACCACGUAUAGAUGAGAGAUGCAACUUUAGAUCCAAAUGUAAAAUGUGAGGAUGUUAGUUGUAAAUUUAAAUGUGACGGGGGCUUAUUGAUAUGGAGAGUGAAGUUUAGGAUGUCAUUUCUUUUAUUGGGAGAGGCUAAUGCUAUUGCCGGGCAAUGAAGCCAAGACCCACAAGAAACACCCUUCGGUCUCUUUCCUCUCUCUCUCGCAUUGAGUCACCAUCUCCUCAUUGAUCCGCCACCAGCCCCGCCGGCCCGCAUACUGCCUUCACCUCGACGGCGACAUCACCGUUCCUUGCCCGAUCAACGCCGGAUCAUGGCCAUAGAAGCCACCGCUGCUCGUGUCUCUCUUUAGUCAUGCCGUCAAGGCACGGUCCGGGCCAACCACCAUCGUCAAUCUCUACUUCGAAGCUGAUCGUGGUAGUCAAAGCUGGGGUGACCUAAAAUCUACUGGCAAUAAACGAUGUUGAGCAUGUUUAUUAACAUAUUGAGUAUUAUACGCAGUACUCUUCCCAGAUAAUUAUGUUUAGUGCACAUGAACAUAAAUUAUGUGAAAUGUACUAAGAAAGUGGAUCACAUUUUAUGAAAGUGAAAUUAUGCUUUGUCAAAGAUGAUACUACACCUUCCAAGUACAAACGAAACUCCUUUGCUAAAAGAAGAGAUCUGGGAUGCGACACAAGUUUAAGACAACUUUUUCUCUUUUGGAUAAUCAAGGGGCACGAAAGUGAAGACCUAAUUAUUAAAGGCCCAUGAAACAUCAUGCAAACCUUUUAACUAGAAAUGUGUUAUUUUUAGAUUAAGUUAAGAGCUAUCAAAUCAAACUAAGUUUAAUGAAAUUUCACUGUAAAACAAAUUGUCAAAAAGAUUUAGAACAAAAUUGGAUAAAUUGAAAUGUUUAUGAUUGAAUUGUUAUAUGUAUAACAAGUUCUGGACUUUCUAAAUAAUAUUCCCAAUCUUUGAAAAAACAUGGCAUAUUACAACACAAUAUAUGAGAAUAUAGCUUAGAUUUUGACUCAAAGUUUAACAAAUUUUGAUUCACAUUCAUGGUGUUUGUAUAAACACGUAUUACAUAAAUUUCGUGCUUGAUGAACUUCUAUAUGAGGUGCAAUUUGCUAUAAAUUCUUGAUGUGGAAUUGUUAAAGUGCUUCCAUAGCAACUGCAAAUGGCACCAGAAUUGUAUAUAUUUAUCCUAUGUCAAUUUGGCAUCUUUCAAGUCGUCUAUUACUUCCGAAAUUUACCAAAUAAAAAAGCUGUGAUUUUUUUUUUCAUUUUUUAGCAAGCUUCAUCCGAUAUGUUACUUAUCAGGAUAAACAAGAUAGUGGCUGAUUUUUUUUUUUUUUUAAUGAUGUACCAAAUAUUAUAAUUUAAAAAAAAAUAAAAGAAUUAGAUUGCGGUCAAUGUCUAUCCACUCGUCUCUCUAGUACAGAUUUGUAUUUCCACUCAUCUCACUUAUUCAGAUGAGAAUUUAUAUAACAGGGGCGAAUAUCAUUAGAAAUGCCCAAGAUACCUACGAAUUCAGAAUUAGAUGGAUUGCAUUGGUCAUCAAUCUAAUUCUCAAAUCACAAUUCAUGAGUUUAUUACCUCAUAUGUAUUACCAGCUAUACAAUUUAUUAUAUCAAGUGCUUAUUUAUAUUUUCAUAUCUUAUCAAUGAUUAUAAUUAGAUAAAAAUCAAGCACAUAAGAUGUGAUUAUAUAAUACAAAUAUGCAAUUACGUUAAUUAUCACUUCGAUUGCCACUUAUUAGUGUAAUUACCCAUAUAUAUUACUGAGAUACUACGAUUUAGUAUAUUAAAUUAAUCUAUUAAUUAACACUCAAUUGAUCAUCAUGAUCUAAAUUUAAACAUGUCACUGGAAUUAUCAAAGUGAAUACCAAGUACUAAAUAAUUAAUAGUACGAUUGAACUAAUAAUUAUGUAACAAGUUGAGCAUUGAUUAAUAUAAUUGGCAAUCAAGAUAACAAUCACAUCGUGAAUAAUGCGAUACUUAAUCAUGAAAAUUCACAUCAUAAUAGUAAGCAAGUAAUAUAAUGCAAGUCAUUAUAUUCCAAUUGCUCUAAUUAAAGAAACAUGUAAUCUCAUGAUAACAUAAUCGUUCUAACAUCAAUUAAUUACUUAUUAUUGAAUUCUUUUAUUUACUAAUCAUAUAUUACAUGAUUAUGUCGAAUUAAUAACAAUAAUAAUAAAGCGGUGUCAUCAGUGAUUCAUUAAGUAAUUAACAUAAUGAAACCUGUCUACAAUUAAAGUAAGUUUUCAUCAUAAUAUAUCAUCUAUUAUUGGUAAAAGGGGCAGAACAAAAUGUGAUGGAAAUCCCACUCGUUUAGCAGAAGAAAAUGCACGAGCGUCAGCUAUGAUGAGAGACCAACUUGAAGAAACUGAAGCGAUGAUCAAUUUGCUCUGCUCCCCAGCAGCGACACCAAUAAAGUUUCAAGAAAAACCCAUUUCAGGAGGAGGGAAGAAAGCAUGAAAACAUCAUCCGCAGAUUAGAAAAAGUAAAAAAAAAUUCAGUCUUUACGGUUAAGCUCGAAAAAGCUUGCGAUGGAAAAAGAAAAUUGCAGAAAAGAGCCAUCGAAAGGACGUGAUGCGGUGCGUUGCUGAUAUGGUCUGGCGUUCCGAACCCCACAUUAGUUUAACGCCAAAAAUGGGAUUUUGCUCCUCCCUGAAGCUUAUCCAUCGAAAACGAAACGACAAAGUCAAAAAAGUUCCUUUUCCGGUCCGCGCUUUCCAAACGGCGUAUCAGAUCAGGAACGGAGUGUAGCAAUUUGCCCACUUUUGCGACAUCAGAUCAGGAGCAGAGUAUGGCAAUUUGUCUACAUCGCAUUCGAUGGAAACGUGACGAAGGAAAAGAGCAAUUGAACCAAAUCACUCGUUGCCGGGAUUGAUUACACUAAGAAAAAGACCCCCUCUUUUUUCAUCAAACACCAAACAGAUCAGCUCAAAGCGACUCGGAAACACCAAAGUUCUACCGCAAAGUUUUCUACAGUAAGAGAACAGAGAACAGAGAACAGACAAAACCGCGCUCGUGUCAUUCAGUCAACAGCAGGCCCCCAGUCAGUGUCAUCAUGGACCUCGCUAAACAUGUCGAUCGAAUUCCGGAUUACGCUAAUCAGGGUUAAGAGGGCGGCGAUCGUGACCUGGAGGGGCGGGGAUCAGGCGCCGGGGCCGGACUUGUAGCGGUAGAGCUUGCCGAAGACGUGGAGGGCGGUGACGAAGCCGAUGAAGCAGAGGCUCAUGACGAGCACCACCGUCGGCGAGAUCUUGAGCCCCGGGGCGUCGUCGGUGUAGAACCGCAGCAUGUUGGUCCCCCCGCCGCCGCCGCCGCCGCUCAGGCCUCCGGAGCCGCCCCCCGCAGCAGCGCCGCCGCCUCCACCACCGAGCCUCCGUCGGCGCAUGCCGGCGGCCGCGGCGGCGGAGCCGCGGGGGGCCAUCAUGCCGGGGCGGGAGGUGACGGAGGACGCCGACUGGGACUGGGACGAGCCUCUAGCCAUGGAUGCCGCGAUCGAGAUCGAGAUCGAGAUCGAGAGAGAGGGAGAGAAGGGUUGGAUUGGAUGCGCGAGAUUUGAUGAGCCGUCGAGGUGGUUGCGACUUUGUCGACGAGAGAGUGACCGACAGACAGAGCGAAACGAGGUUUAGGGCGGACGGUGAUAAAUGAGGUCAGCGGGGGGCAACUUGGGCAUUUUAUAAUGAGCUUUUUUGUUAAUCCAUCUUGUUGAUACACAUCAUCACUUCAUUUAUGAGAUAAGAACAGGAUAAUUACAAACGUGCGAGUCCUCGAAAAGAUUUCUUUGUUCCAUUAACUUUCCAUAAUUAAUAGUAAAUGCUCCACGCCCAAGUUUGAAGCCAGUAAUUUCAAGAAAAUGGCACAAAUGAAAUCGAGGAUGAGUGACUGAAAGUCCCUUUUAAAGAAUCAAGUUCGUAAUGUAUAUUGUAAUUGCAUAUGUAUAGUUGUAACUACAUGCACCUAAUUGCUAAAUCAUAGGGCAUGCGACAUUUCUAAAUAUGCAAUAAAAUAUGCGGAAGAAAAACAUCAUUCAUCAAAUAGAUUGAAAUGCUUUAAAUGCAAGGUGGUCGGCUAAAUGUGUUAAAAUCUUUUGUCCAUAGGGUCGAAAUUAUUUUCUCUCCUUUAUUAAAAUUUGUUUCAUGCACGCUGAUGAAAGCCCAAUAAUUAGAAGUUAAUCAGCAUGUACAUUGGAAAAUACUUUCCAUUUCGCAAGUACUUCUUUCUCCCCUCUAGGAAUGCGGGUACGAGACCUUCCAACACGUACUUAAUGCCAUAAAUAAACAUACAAAUAUGUAUAUCAUGGCCUAAAGAUUUCAUUCUUUUCCGGUAAACUAAAUUAAAUUUCAGAUCUUCAACGUUAUCUUUAAGCAUUAGAAAGGUAAAUGCGUACUUAAACUAGAGCUAUGAAAUUAACCGGCAAGAAGACUAUGCAUACAGCGAUAGUUUUCCUGUACAGCAUUAUGACGAAAGGGAUGCAAGCAGAAACAAAGCCAAGUCAAAUUAGCUCAGGAAAGGCGUUAGACCAGAGGAAACAAUGAAAAUCCGGACAGAUCAUUGAUCAGAUCUCUUCCCAACUAUAUAUUAGCUGCACUGCAUCUCGUCGGCUCGGGCUGGGGCGAAGGUGCUGAGGGCGGAGCUUGGCGGGGGCACUCGGGGGCAUCGAUCUGGUACACGUAGUGGGAGACUGUUGCCGACGCAAUGAUGACGCCCAGACAGACGAGUGCGUAGCAAUGUCGGACCAGUUUCCCCAGCAACGCCGGCACCAGCGGAGCCUCCAUUCGUGCGUCUCUCUCCUUCCGUCGUUCUCCCCGUUACGAACUGUAACUCGACGGGCCGAGGUGACUGAGCUUCUGGUGCUGCGGUGCGGACAUGCUUGUUUAUAUGCGACGACGGCGGAAAAGUUAGAACGGACUUUUAUCCGCACGAACUUCGAGGGACGAAACAGUGGGCACCGUCGGUAAGGCAGUCCUUUUCCCAAGGCGCUGGGUCGGGCCUGCUGCUCGCAUUGCCUGUCACUGUCAGUUUGCGAUCCUUCUUAUCUAGCAGAAAGCGACCGUCGGUCUGCUGCUAUUCCGGUUCUCCAUCUUGAGAAAACACUGACGACAAAAUGCAAUCGAUUUGGAAUCGUCAAGAUCGAUAGGGGUGGUGCUCUCCAAAGUCCAACCAGGUUCCCCUAUAACUUUUGCACUUGACCUAAUCUACACAAUGAAAUGGCAAAAUGUAACGACCUGAUCCGAUGAGAAUGGGGGAGUGAUUGUUGAGAUUAGAGGAUUUAGAUAAGGAACAGCUCUAGCUGACAAGUUUUUAAGAUGACGAAAUGGGUAAGAAUGAACCGAAUUAUACCAAACAAGGAAGAGGGAUUUUGAGAUACAUAUGUGAAAAUUGGAAGUAAUUCAUGAGUGUGCAUUUUGAUGUAAUGGCAAAUUUUGCUUUAGAAUUUGAAAGUUAAUUGAGCAAGAGCUAAAGCACUAUCAGGAUGUGUCCUAGUGCCCGCCUGUACAUCAAAAGACAAAAUCGUAAAGCUCGCUUUGUAUGGGACUAGUUAAAUUGGACAAUAUUUCGAGGGAAUUAAUUUAAGAACGUCACAAAAAGUCUUUCUUGACCCCAAGAAAAUUUAAAGGAAGAAGACCGAGGAUCGAUCAUUGUGCAGAAAGGCAGAAGACAGGUGCUCUGCUAACUGAUGCUAAGUUGAAAUGAUUUGAUGGAGUAAUUGAUCAAUCGACGAAAAAAAGAACAUCACAGUAGCAUUAUGUGUGCGAAUAGCUUAUUUCUCUUCUUCUGUAGCAUCAGCAAGCGGAGCCCAAUGAAUCUUAGCUCCGGCCAGGAAGUGUUGUAAAAAUAAAAAUAAAAUGAAAGAAGGUCUAAGAAGUACAGUGAUAGCAACUGCUACUUUAUUACUCAAGUUUAGUUUGUUUGCCUAUAUUUCACCAAUUUACAAGCCUGAAUUUUAAGGUACGAACGGUAAACUCUGAUCCUCGUGUCUUAGUAACCUGUUGUUAUCUGUCGAUCCUUGAAGAUUCACCAAGCUAUGACCUCCGAUUCGAAUUAGUUAGCCCGAGUCUUCACUCGCGAAUCUCGACUUGAUCCAUCACCAGCUACUUUGGUGGUCAAAAUUUGUACCAUUUAUACCUGGAAAACUCCCUCAACUAGCCCCGCUUUUAGUCUCAAAUGAAAAGUCUUUCGGAACGAUGUCUAUCUCUAUCUCGUGCUGCACCCGCGAUGUUGGCUGAGGAAUGGAAGCCAAUUGGACUGCUCUUUCACGGUCGACCGCACCUUGUUCCGUGUUGGGAUUAUUGUGGAAAGAUGAGCCUUCGCCCUGGUGGAGAUGGGUCGGGGACGGAGAUUCGUUGUCGUGCUGAUCCACAUCGAAGUUGGAUAGCCUCGGGGACGUGUGCAUGCUGUCCAUUUCGCUGCGGUAGUGGCGCAAGAGGUGCACCGGGGACAUGUGAUGCGAAGGCGUGGCCGGCCUGCUGGACAUGGGCGUCACGGAGCCUUUGUUUUGCUUGAUGUGCUUCUUGGCACUAUGAUGCCAGUUCCGCAAGGCCGUGGCAACUCUCUCGUUGAAUAUGGUAGGCUUCAUCGUCGACCCCAUCUGUUUCAAUCCAAGCAUUGGUAAAUUUAAACCUACGACUCCAAAAUUUUCGACCCGAAAACUGCGAGAUCAAAAAUGCCGUUCCGUUACCUGCGUCACGAGGGCAUAUAGAGGAAGCGUGACAUAGCUGCACAGAAUCUGAAUGAGGACCCUGAAAUUAAUAAGGAGAAGAUCACCAGCUGGGUUAGUCUUGCCAAGAACAAGAACGUGAGUAAAAUCAAGAUCCCAGGACUUUCUGUGAUGAUGAUGUUACUAACCCCAUUGAGAUUCUGAUUAUUCUAUCUUCCGUGUGCUCAUGAAAGCAAGAUUUUAUUCCGAAUUCAUACUGAAAAGAUGGAAAGGAGUCGCGUUAAUUCGAUCGGAGAGGCUAACUGAACAGCGAAAUUCUUGGCCCAUCUGUAACUCGUAUUGAAGAAGAAUCAGAAAUGUUCUUACCGAAGUCCAAACAAAGAAGGCAAGCUGAAAAGCAUUCUGCAGAUAAUGAAGGUUGAGAGACAGUGAGAUUUUCUAAGUCCAGCUUCAGAGAAAAUAACCGGGAUCGCCGUGCACACACGCACGCGCCAGUAAGAUACUCACGACGUUACCUGAAAGAGAACGAAAUUGAUGAGGUAGAGGAUGAGGCGUGGCCGGUUGAACCAGAAGAGGUCGUCGCCGGGUUCGACGACCGGCACGCCCUUCACGACCUGCCCCCUCUCUUGGAUCCGGAGCCCCAUUUUGGUUAUGAUCACCUGCAGCUUGGUCCCGACCAGAAGUAUGAUCUGCAGGUCCAACCAUCGACCGCUCAAUUUCACUAACGAAGCACAAAGACAUUGCCUUUUCGGUAUCAAUACCAAAGUCAGAACUUACAAUCAGUGGGAUGAAGGGGAGCCACAGAUAAGAAUACCAGCCUGAUCGUGGCAAAAGAAAGCAUAGUUAGAAUCAGUGCAACAUCCGGGCACGCGGCAUCGAUAAAUUGGCAAUUUCUUUGUGAUCAUCAAAAAUUUCCGUACCGUGGGUAUUGAAGAGCAGGAACAGAACUGCGAAAAACCAUAUCGGAGGGCUGAAGAUCGAAAAAGGCAACAUGACUGGUCAGUCGAGUAGUGUAUAGGACGUUCAAGGCAGAAUUAGACGAUAGAAGGGGUAAUUCACUAGUAGCCAAAAGAUUUCCAGCACCAACCUGAUCCCUACGACCACCUUGAAGUCCUCUUCUAGAGAUCUCUUUAUGUAUUUCUGAAAAUCGAACUUCACGUGGCUUUGGGGAGCCAAAUGUGCCUGAAAAAGGGAAUUAAUUAAUACAUGCAAUUAAUAAAUUUUAAUUCAAUAUGCAAUGUGAUCCCUAAAUUUUUUAUAUAUAUUUAACUUAUUCUCGAACUAUGUUCAAUUAUCAAUGUUAUCAUUCAAUUAAUUCAAGUUCGGGAAUAUUAUAUAACGUAACCCGUUUGAACUAAUCAUUUAAUUAACCAUAAUUUAGAAUGUGUGCACUCAAAUACAAUAAAUUAAUUAGAGAUAGAAUUAAAACAAAAGAAAAAAAGGACUUACCGUGAUAAAGCCGUGUCUCAAAGUCAAGUAAUCUACUUUUGGAACAGAUCUCACGAAUUGUCUGAAGAAACAAACCUGCCAAAAAUAUUAUAUGAGUAACGAAUAAACAAAUUAAAUAAAUUAUGGAUAAGUCUGGAUGACGAGUUCUCAUCUAUAUGAACUCGAACGUCCUCCUUCAGAAAACGCCAAAAGUUUUAAGAGUAAAUUGAAAUUAGAAUUCAAGAAAAGGCCAAAAACACAUUCAACGAUGAAGAGAACAAGUGGCCGAUGAGGAAGUCAAACCUUUUGAAAUGGUCUGAACGUCAUUAAAGUGGGGCCAUAUAUUGGGAAGUACGUGUCAAAUGCAUGAGUUGGAAUACGAAGACCGUUGUUUAGCCCUUUCAUAUAUAUUUCAUUAUCAACGGUAUGCGAAAUAAUUAAAAUAAAAGGAAGAAAUGAAAUGGAAAUUUUCUACAUCGUCGAAGUCAACAUGGGCCUUGAAGGUCGGAUCUAUUUUAUUUUUCUUAGAUUAAAUGCUACCGAAAAUUUCAUAUUUAAUACACCCAUAACAUGUUUACCCAAAACUAUUUUCCGUGUUCUAGAGAAACAUCAAAUUAGUACGCCUGCCCUGUAUUCACUUUAAAUUGAAUUUCAUGUCACAAAAAAUCUCAAAUCGGUACUUGCAUACUACAUUUAACCCGAAUUAAUUUUGGGGUCACAAAAAAUCUUAAUGGCAUGGCUAAAAUAUGAAUUGAGAUUGAGAAUUAGGGCAAAAUUAAUUAAGCUUUGAGAUUUUUAUUUUGUGGCUUGUGCAUUUCAUUUUGAGUUUUUUGGUGAUAUGAAAAUUAGUUGAAAGCAUAAGCGAAAAAGGUGUAAUGGUUUGAAAUUUUUAUGAUAUUAACCCAUUUCUUCUUUUUUCUUUUCAUAUGAGUAUUUUGUUCCCCAAUGAUUAUGUCUUGCUUGAUUAUAACGUACGGUUAUCUAUCAUCUAAAAUUUCCAACCGUCUUUAAGGGAUAAGGGCUACGUGUUGUGCCUAUUUCUAGAACGAUUUUGAAAUCAAUUCCGUUUGGAAAGGUAAAAAGAGGAAAAUAAAAAAUAAAAACUAAAGAGGAGCUGGCGCUUACGAUCCACAUGAGGACCGGGGUCUUGGUCCAGAAGCUCAUGUGCCUUCGCCCGAACGACGUCUCCCUCGCGAACCUGAACCUCUCCGGAUCUGCGUCCAUACAUGCAAAUCAACGCAACGUGUUAUACGUGCAUGCACACAUGUCGUUCGACGGCUAUAACGAAAGGAAGAAGAAAGAUGUCGCAUGACGUGGCGGACCGGACCGAACCGAUCGCCACCCGUAUUGCGACGAGCCAAUGGGCGUUCGACACGUUUGCUAAGCGAUGGAUGAGUGGACUGACCGUGCGAGAACUGGUACUCGGUGGUCCGGGUCUCCUUCUCCCACGCCUUCCAGCUCCUCAUCUGUGACCAGAAGAAGUCAUUAGAGAGAGAUUUUCGAUCUCGUCAAGGUUCCGAGAUGGCGACAGGAGCGCGUCCUGAAUGUACGAGGAAACCGGGGAGGCGCGGCGUAGGGGGUUGCGCGACGUACCUUGGCUCGGCCGAGGGCCAUGGUGAGAAUGCAGUAGAGGAUGUGGAAGACGGCCAGGACGAAGAUGAAGAUGUGGAGCUGAUGGAUCCCGUCCGCCGAUACGAACGGCACUUUGCCCUGAGGAUUCAAAAUCAUCGUACUUCAAUACCAUAUUUAAAAAAAAAAAAAAAUCAUUGUAAAAAUCUGUAAAGUUCACCGAUUUCGAAUUAAGCUUAAGACGAUCGAGUCUGUUCGGCGACGCGAUUCGUGGGCAUUUUCGACAAUUCAUUUUAAGAACACGCGUCUUCAGACCUAUGAUGUGGAUAAGCUCCAUAUUCCUUGGUCAAAAUAAGUUUUUCUUUGGGAUAUACACAAACAUAUAAAUAGCUUAGAAAAAUGCAUCUCCACGAUUCUUGAGAUGAGAAGUUGCGGAGAAAACUCUCAAAAAAUCUAUUGUACGAAAAUUUAAUCAGUUUUAAACUUUUAAAAAUUUAUCAAUAUAGUUUCCAACAAAAUAUUUUAAUAAUAAAUUUAGGAAAAUUGACAAAUUUUCAAAAAUUUUAAGACUAAAUUGACAAAAAAAAAUUACAACUAAAUUGACAAAACAUCAAGAGAUUUAGAACUAUAUUGACACAAUUAAAAGGUUUAUGAUUACAUUUAAGACUUUUUGGACAAUUAUUUCAGAAUUUGUGAUACAAAAAAGAAAUUAUUAUUAAGAGAAAGAGUCAGCUUUUGUCUCGAGGAGACCUGUAAGCAAAGCACAUGCAUUGCAUGCUGACGUCACCAAUGGACACAGCCUGGAAUCCAAUGAUUGACCCAGAAGGAUGUUUCGGUUCGAAUCAUCUCAUGAAAUUAUGGGUUUCUCUCGGUACGUUAAAAAAAAUGAAUUUCGUUGGCUGAACAAUAGAAAAUCAUUUGCAAAUUUUAAAUUAUAUUCGCGAGGUGAUGAAAAUGACAUCGUAUCACCUUCGGGAGUAAAAUCCUUGACUAAUAUAUCGAGUUGAUACGAGGAAAGCGUGUUCCUGAGAUCGAAUUCGCCAAAAUUUGUCCGGUAUAUAACUACUUGAUGUAAGUUUCUGGAUUGGGUUUACCUUAGCUGCGCAUUUAUCGUAGGUGGCACCGGCGAGAACUCGGCGCACGCCGCCGCCGGGGAAGUCGGAGAGAGCGAGCAGUUUACGGUCUUUGGAUUUGUCAUCGGGCGGCCCUUGGGACUUGUUCUUCAUUUGCUCAUGGGACUUGCCGCAUGGAUGCCACGUGGCGGCCACCUCCGACGAGAUGCAUAUGUUCGAUAUCAGACCUUGCCCCACCGUGAGCAGCAGCGAUAUGAACCCCAGAAGCAUAAGCUCUACAACCACAAAAAGUACAAAAAUAAAUAAAAAUAAAUAAAACACACAAAAGAAAAUUUUGAAAGUUAACAUUAAUUUUAAAUUUAAUUUAGAGGGGAAACAAAAUAAAAAAUAAUUAAAAAAUUGAGGAACGAGUUUGCCAUCCGAUCCGGUGCAAGUGGAUCGGAUAGUUUGCAUGCCUAAGGGAAAAAUGUUGGGCAAAAUGAAAUUUGAUGAAUAUCGGGAUGCGCGAUCGACAUUAACCCUUUCUCUUACAUAUUUCAUAUUUGUUGGUGUCGAUGUAAGUAGAGAUUAAUAUUUCGUUAGAAAAAAUAAUAUAAAAUAGAAAAAAAAAAGUUUGGUUCCUCCAAGGGUUCGUGGAUUUUGAACAGAUAAUGUGGAGGGAACAAUUUGUAGGUUGGGUACGGUGGGAAUUUUGUUUUUUUUUUUUUUUUUGGGCAAUAUAAAUUUUUCACGAUUCCCUCGUUCCCCCCCCCCCCCCCCCCCGACCGCCCACAAAAAAAGAAAAGAAAAGUGGGUGAUUGAAUUGAAAUUCACCUGAUUUGAUCUUCUCGAGUGCCUCAUAAAGAGCUGUCUUGUGCUUCUUCUUCAACCACUGCCAAGAAACAAGCCAAAGGGUUUCAUUUAUUUCAUCACUAUGAAUUUCAUCAAACACCUUGGAAGGGAGUAUGAUACCGCGCACGCAAUGCGUACUUAUAGCGAAUCCUUCUUCCUUUGGGAUGUGACGUGAGAUGGCGGCGAUGGAAGAAGGGAACGAACCUGUCCGAUGAGGUGGAUGAUGUGCUCGAUGAUGAUGGAGACCAGAACGAGGACGAAGCAGACCACGGCGACCGCCCACGUCGGCGUCUGCUCCAGCGAUCUCCCUCCGCUGUCCCCUGCCAUUCCUUUCUCCCUCCUUUCUCCUCCCUCUUGGCUACAGAAACACGUUCGUCGAUCUAGAUACCUUAGCAGAAAAGCUACUGAGGCACGCUCUGGGAAUUCCCUCACGCAGAGGUCGAAGAAGCCUCAACGAACAUACAAAGAGAGAGAGAGAGAGAGAGAGAGAGAGAGAGAGAGAGAGAGUGGUGGUAACUGGUAAGGUACAGAAUGGAGAGGAGGGUGUAUGGAUGGAUGGAGUGCGAGGACCGUCGAGGGUUUUAUAUGCAGUUAGGGUUCGGGGAAAGACGGGAGGGGGAAUGCGAAGAAGACGACUUUUGACUCUGUACGCGUCAUAUUCGGUAGAGAGAGAGAGAGAGAGAGAGAAAGAGAUGUUGACUUGAUCGGAAUAUAAUAAAAGUGCAAAAAGAAGAAGCCAGAAGAGUGCAUAUUUUUGACUGCUCGAGAUGAGUCAUCGUCGGAUAAUUCAGGCGGGCGAGUCAACCCGUCGCCCUCCCUCAACGACGUCCACAAGAUCGUCCCUUCCCUUUGCCGAAAACGUAACGGAGAACGGCAUCUCCUGGUCGGAGUCGCUCCCCGGAAAUUCACACCUAAUUGCUUCCUCCCCGAAGUACUCCAAAACUUACGAGACUAAUGCAUUUCGAACGCGGUUCGCACGCGCAAAAAUGGAUCAUUUUUUUUCUGGACGCGGCCAACGAGAUUAUAGUAUCAAUCCACACAAGGGAUAGGACGCGGCCAACAAGAUUAUUGCAUGGUCUGUCCCAAUUUUAGAAAAGUGUAAGAGAAUUAGACAUUGAUUCACGCGCCAUUAUUUAUGUACCGCGAAAGUUUCCAAUGUUUCGGGACGGAGAAAGUUCAAGCGCGUAAGCCACGAUAUUUACAUAGACUAAAAAAGGAUAACGACACAUAAUAAAGUGAACUUUUACUAUAUAUGCAAUAUGAUUCAUAAACUUUAAUUAUGUUCUAUGUGGUCCCAAACCUUAGAUCAAUAUGCAAUAUCAUCUCUAAAUUCUAAUUUGUUCCAUGUACGUGUUUAAUAAAGUCCCUUGACUAUGAAAUGUUUAAUGUUGUUUUUUUUUAUCAAGUCAAGUUUAACGAACAAAUUUAUCACAACUAUAUCAAUUUAGGGUUUUAUGUAGUCAAAAAAUCAAUUUGAGAUAAAUUUGUUACAGUUAUACCAAUUUGAGAUUCUUCACGAGAUUUUUUUAUUUUAUUUUAUUUUUAUUUUUAUUUUUUGUAGUUGAUAAUGAUUUGCACUAGUCCAUAAGUGUUUUUUUUUUAUCCUACUAUUUAUGGCUAUUCAAAAUUGGUGACUUUUAACUAAUAAAGUGGGGCCUAAGGAAUAAAUUUUAUAUUAAAAUAUAGGGAAGCCCCUUCUUCCUGGCCACUUAAUCAGGAGUCUUGACUGACUAAUUGGGAGUUGGCCUGCGAUAAUUGUCCAUUUCUCUCCUUGACGAUUAUUAUAUGUUUUGUCUUUUUGUGUGGUAUUCUGAUUCUCCUGACCUGACCCGGUCUUGGUCCGACAAUAAGAACUCAAUACGGCAGAUGAGUGCCUUUUUGCGCGUAAGAAAUUUGCCUUCGAUCCUAAUUAUUCUUCACAUGGGUUUGAAUUAUGUUUAAAGUUCCUUUACCGACUCUUGUAAUAAAAUUUGCGUACCGAAUCUCCUCCCUUAAUAAAGGGAGAUGCGAAUAGCACUGCACAUAAUGAUAGAAUAAUUAUCGACCCAAAAAAAAAAAGAUGGUAGAAUUUUUAAUUUGGCUUGUUCCACGGGAGAAUUCGGCCUGAGGAAUAGACUACUCAUGCGAUCCAUAUCACUACCUAAUCUCGCAACACUAUAAAAGACGAUUUAAUGUUUUGUUUAGGGUAAUAUAGAUAAGCCCCACGUGGCACAUGUACAUGUAGAGAGACAUAACUUAGAAUAGGAAAACUGACGUUUUUAUUCUUCCAAAGUGAGUAUGCGACUUGGCCAUUUCAAAGGUCGGUGAAACCUUAUGUAUAGACACACACACACAUAUAUGAUACCAUUUUCACUGCAAACGUAGAGGUCUAUAAAUUAAUCACAUCACCUAUAGUUUAGGUUUAUUCUUUAUAUCGUUCUUCAUAUUCCACCGGCACCUAUGGAUAUAUACAAAUAUGUAUUAGAUGAGCUGGUUAUGUGAAUAUACUCUAUCUACUUACCACUCUGUGGAUCUUAUGAACCAAAAAAAUUUCUAAAAGUUGAAGAUUUAUGAAACCGAUUUAUGGUGCCUGGAGAUUAAAAGGUGAUCCCUUAUAUGAGGCUAAGGUAGUCGUAUGUUAAUGGGAUAACAUACUUAUGUCAGGCAUUCGUUAAUUGAUUUAUAGCCACUUCAUGGUAUAAACCAGGGUCAACGAGUUUAAGCUACUAGUAUUGUUCUAAGCCGAUAACACACCAGUAUACCCACGACAAGGAAGCCAUUCAUGAUGUCCGAAAUGAACCUUAUAGAUAACACUUCAGUACAUAUUUUUUCAUGUCUUCCUAAAUCCUUUCCCUCCCCUUCUUAAUAUUUGGGGUCAUCUAAAGUUUAAGAAUGAUCCCGUUAGCUUGAUAAGAUGAGUCGAUCCAAUAAAUUAGAAAAUUUCUAAAACCUGAAAAUUUAUGAAAUCAAUUCAUGGUAUCAAUAGUUUAAAAAGCAGUAUGCUGAGGCGGCCAUGUGUUUAUAGGAUAACAUGCUUGUCUUAGGCAUUCAUGGAUCUGUAAUUUCAUACGUAGACCACACUCUAUAAAUCAAUAUCAUCGUAGUCAUCAAUAAUGUGAGAUUCAAUGUGGAGCCUACAUAUUCAAUGAUGGCAAUGAUCUUUACCAACUAAGUUCAUAUAACAUUUUACCUUUUUUUUUUAUAUGAUGAUGUAUCUCGUGAUUUUAACACCAGUCCGUUUUAUUUAUUUUGCGUCGCACCCAAUCAAAUCUCAAACCUAGCCAUCUCUCCUAUCUUUCUGCUUUGUUGCCGACCACUUCGCCACUAGCAGAUUCACCAUCGCCACCUCUAGACUAGCGCUAUUGCCACCACACUAUCCACCAGCCGCGUCUCAACUUCAUCGUAUCUAGAUGUUGGAGAUGUCUCCAUCGCCUUUGAGAUCCGGCCAAGACUCAACAGUGACCACUUGAUUCGGCGGAGCCACCUCUUCUGGAGCCCCUCAUUGAUACUUAGAACUUAGUGGGAGGCGACAAGCCGGAGCUGGUUGGCGACCUCAAAGCUUUAUCGCCGCGGCGGUGAUGGCAUAGUGUGUGAAGGCCACCAUCGACGGUAAUGCGCCCACAUAAGUGACACAGACCGCAGGGGCCAGGCGUAGUAUUGCGCAACCAGAGAGAGAAGAGGCAGAAUUUAGGGUUUGAGGAGUGUUGUCUUAGCACAUAUGCAUCAAAUCUGGAAAUAUGUUCAUAGCAUACGAAUUUAGGUUACCUACUCGUGGCAAUUCGUAUCACUACAAUGUGCCAUAAUUCUAUUGCAAAAAGCUAGACUUUGAUUUUUCAGAUUCCUCAAUAUCAUGCUCUUGCGUGCUUGUCAAGGGCAACUUCAACGAAAAAUCUAGAUAUGGUAUAGAACAUGGAGUGAAUAUUUCUGUGACAUGGAAACAUCUUCUAUGUAAUUUAAAUGUUUAUAACUAACUAGUAAAUGAUAAAAACUAAAUUGACAUAAUUAAAAUAUUUAUGACUGAAUUAAUUACUGUACAAUGGAUUUAAAAUUUUUUAGACAAUUUUUUUUUUGGAAAACAUCCUCCAAACAUGCGAGACUUGAGAUGCGUGCUGGAGAGAUGGGAAUGUGGUUAGUGUUAAAAUUUGACGUUGACCAGACUAUAUUUAAUUUAAUGGGACCAACUUGAUCCCAUGUUUUCCUUCUUCACUUAUCUGGGUCAGGUUGCAUCUAGUGGACAAAUGGGUACGUCCAAUAUUGUAGUUUUCAUUCAAUGUGAUGGCAUUUUACAUGUAGGGAUUCGGUCAGAAUAAUGACCAAAGUGACGUGUGGCCCGAAUAUCGUUCGGAUUCGUUGACCGAGCUUACCACGUUUAAGAACGAUUAACCAUCGAGAGUUAUUCCAAUUUAUCUUCUACUUAACUUACUCAAAAUGAAGAAAAACAGACAUAUUUUCCAUUGUGCAGCGAACAGUAUCAAAAACUAUAAUAUAUAUGUCAGGAUUGGGUCAGAAUAAUGACCAAUUGACCGAGUAUUACUAUGUUGUUUAAGAACGAUCGACUGUCGAUAGCUACCGAUGCCUUUUCCUAGGGUAGGCCUCAACUGCAAUCUUCGCAUACCGUGUCCAACCCUCGAUUUGGACAAGAGGGUUUUAUUUUAUCAUUGUUCUGGUCGUGUCCUUUUACCUUGGAACACCGAUCAUUACGUGAUCCGGGAAAGGACGAGGAUUGUUUUCUUUUUCCUGGGGGUCCCAAAAAAAACAAUGGUUGGCAUUGAUCCGUUCCUAAUACAUGAUUCGGAUCGAGACUUUUAGAUCGGUAAUGCCAAAUUAGGAGAUACUGAAAGAAGUUUUCAACUUGACAAUGCUGGGUUGGGGUAGCAAUCAGCCGGCCGGGUAGAUCGAGUUGAUUUGGUUGAGAUGAUUUUUGUUUCAUAGAGUUCCUUUUAAUUGGAACUUCGUUUAUCCCUAUUGGAAACAUACCCUGUAUUCGUUGGAAGCAUACGGGAUUGUUUUUCACUUGACUAAUUUUGCCAACACGCCAAGCUUGACGCUAGAACAGUUGCUUGAACGAAAUGAAUGUACAAUUUGUCACAUGUGAUGCUGACAUGGUUUACGUGGCACCGGGUGAGCGAUGAAUAUAGCUACAUGAGUCGGACUCAAACAGUCGAAAGUACUAACAAGGACUCAUCAUCGGCGUCGUCGGCCGGCCGUGCCUCUACUCAUCUAAUGAUUCGUGGUCGUUUGCUUCAAUUAUUGGUUAAGCAGAGUGCAAUUUGUCAAAUUAAACGCUCGAAUUCAAUUUAGAACGCCCAAGUGGACCACAGUUUCCGGCCGCAACGCCUCCAGUCAAAAUCAGUUAUCCUUUUUUUUUUUUUUUUUUUGCGAGGACAAAACUAGUUAUUCUUAUUUCUAGAUGAAAACGAAAAUGUGAAUAGGCUUAUCCUAAACUGCAAUCUCGGAAUCUUUGCUCAUCGAACUUGAAUUUUUGUGUUCUUGAAAUUGAACGAAGUAGAUGGUAUGGUCUGGAUCUUCCCGGUCAAUAAACAGCAAACAUAACAAAUUCUAAGCUUUUGAUAGUCCGAUUUUUCUGUUUUUUGGAAAAACAUGUUCAAUGUUCGAAGACUCAAAGCAUACUUAAAAAAAAAAAAAACUUUUUAUGUGACUUUUAAACAAAUUUUUUAAACCAAAUCAUUCGUGCAUUGAAAGCAUUUGAUAUUUUGAACGCGAAGAAAUGAUUAACAAGUUUAUGUUAUUUGAAAAUUCGAACGAUGAACGUAAAGUUACAAAUCAUAAGUUAGAAGGUAAAUAGCCCAGAUCUUCGGUUGUAUUUGAUGCCAAAAACCAUGAGUGGAGCGUUUCCUUGGCAUUCUCAAAGUUCGAAAUCAUCCUCCACUUGACACUAAACCUACUUCGUUUCUUGUCUCUAACUUACCUGCAAUUAGGGGUGAGCAGCGGUUUAGGGUCGACCCUGGACCAACCCUGGACCGGCCCAACCCUGCUGGUCCUGGUCCGGUCCCCAAGGGGACUGGGUCGGUCCUUGGUCCUGAAAUUCCAGGACCAACACUGUACGGGUUGGUCCUCGGUCCUAAGAGUUUUGGGUCGGUCCAACCCUGGACCAACCCUGUAUAUUAUAUUAUAUUGUAUUAUAUUAUAUUAUUUAUAAUUUUUUUAUAUAUUCAAACCUAAGUAAAAUGUCUAUUAUAUUAUAUUAUAUUGAGAUGUUCUAUUAAUAACACUAAUAGUAAUUUCAAUUUAAAACUUUUGUUGAGUAUUAAUUAUAUGUAGUUUGUUUUGUUUUCAGGUGUUUAGAAGAUCAAGUGAAUUAACAAGAUGUGAAGUUAUAUAUUCAUGGUUUAUAUUAAGUAUUUUGACUUUUUAUGGUUUAAUUGUACUAAUGAAUUGCACUUUGCUUUUCAAUUUGUGUCAAAUGAUAGAAGUUUUUGAAGAGUAGAGUAGUACUGCAGUGAAUACAGUGAUUUGCUAGUCAAGUGGUGUGAAGCUCAUUUUUUGGUUGAGUGAACCCUACGUGAUCGAAUGCAGGAAAACGCUUUUGCAUAUGGUGUUAUGAAUAUUAAAGAUAGAUUAUUACAAGAACUUUCCAUCUUGUCCCAUAUCUUGAUGAGCGGUUAGUAGAUACGAAAUUUUUAUUAUUGUGUCAUCUUAGAUUUGCUAAAUAUGUAUUGGUAUUUAUAGUUUAAUUGCACAAUGUCGUAUUGUCGAUGGAUGUGUAAUUUGAAUUUGUAGGUUUGUUUUUUUAGGAAGUAUAAAAAAUAAGACGAAAAAAAUUAUCGAUCGGUCCCGGGUUGACCCUGGAACCGGACCGAACCCAUUGGGUUGGUCCGGUCCUUGAUCCCAGACUCAAUAGGGUCGGUCCUCGGUCCUAAAAAUUGAGGACCGACACUGUACGGGUUGGUCCUAGGGUUAGGGGGUGGCCCGGACCAACCCGGACCAUGCUCACCCCUACCUGCAAUUAUAUCAUGAACUCGCUAUAGUCAUUAGAGUUUUUCACCAAAAAAGAAAAGAAUUAUGCAAUUGCAUGAUACGUACUUCAUUAGUUCUUGCGUUUGGGAUCACGUUUUGAACAUGAGAUGGAAAUUACUCUUUGACGUAUAUUAUCGGCAAAAGUUUAUAGGCUAGGUGGAUGUGAUCCUCAAAGUCCUCAGUUUUUUGUCAAGGGAUUAAUUUCGACCAUCCACCUCUACAAUGACUGGGGACCCGAAUUCGUCCAGCGUCGACUUGGGGCCGGCUCACAAGUUCACAUACGCGGCUGUCGUCAUCUUGGUCCUUGGCUCAAUCACCAUGAACCCAAGUUCCCAGGGAAAAAGGACUUGGUUUCGACAUGUUCGAUCCAGAGACUAGCCUUGUUGUACUAGUGCCGUUGCGGUUUGACAUUUGGGAAACAUGCACCAGGACGUUGGUUCGGUCGCCCCAACACCCUGGUGUAGCCUCCAGAAUAAAGGGUCCUCUGGCUGGGGGACUUCAGAUCAAUCCGAAAGUAAGUUCGUUGUGGGUGGGCUCGAGUUCAGCCCUCAGGGCCUAAGCUCCAACCGUCAAGACUCGAAGUUCAGCCAUUGGUUUGUCAUUGCAGCAAUUAAUGUUGUCUUUUCUUUUCUUCUUUUCCUUUUGGAAAGAAAGUUACUGCGAUUCUUUCAAAAUGACUCGUUCAAUACAAGGAGGUAUGGGAAAAUAAGGAAACAACGCCUACAAUUGCAGUUCCAAGGGCCCAUUUGAGAAGACCAUUCGCCGUUUUAUUGGCGUCUCUCCUAAUGCAGGAGAUUUUCCAAAAAGGGUUUCUGAUAAACAGAUUCCUGGAAAUGAUUCCAGCCACACACUACAGGGGAAAGCUAUGCGCGUUGGCGAUAGUUCCAACGAGCGACUGAGAGUUGCUUUCGAAGUGGACCUGUUUCGAGUUUCUUUUGCCAAGGUAACUAGGUUCCAGACGAUUCAGCUGAACGGACAGUCUCGUAGACAAUACAAUGAAGCCUCUUCCUCGUCAUAAUCUCGCACUUUUUCCUGAAUGGGAGAACCUCGACAGAUAUAAUUUAGCAACAAAAGUAUUCGUAGACGAUGUGGCCGAGUUACUUGUCGCACGCGAUAAGUGAGACUUGAAUGUAGGCCACUUCUUGAGCUGGAAAUUCCAUGAUGCUCAGACAAUCAUUAACCCAAUGAGACUGGCUUAAUUAAAAAGGGAGAAUCCAUGUUUGCGCAAAUUAGGUGAACCAUCACGAGUUUAUGUUAUCGAGUGCAAGUAAUUUCAUGUCUUCCCAAUUUUAUUUGGAAUUUGACUCGUGUUCGGUCCUUCCAAACGUAAUGCAGAAGGCCUGCCAAGUGCCAUACCCUUCAAAGGAAAAUGAAGAACUUGACUUCAAGUAUAUCUAUGCAAGCGCAUGAUCUACUGUCGUAAAAGAGAUGGCAUCCAGAAGUGAGACAAACAUAAGAGUUUGUCGGGGAAAAAGAAUGGAAAAUCUGGAGUCUUCAGAGUUAAAAAUCUACCGGGGUUUCACAUGGUCCACUCCUCGGACAUCGCACGUCAGAAAGACCAGUUGCUGUCAGUGACCAAAGGCCCAGGAGGUGCAACUGAAAUAAGAGGCUAGGGUGACUUGCCUGUGUUGCCUGCUGCUUGAUUUAGCAGCAGACCCACUUUUUUUUUGGUCGGUCAGCAGACCCACUUUAAUACCAGCAAAGACCGGAGAUUUCUGCUCAAGCCAGGGAGAUCCUUGACCGAAGUGAAUGUAUAGCAAGAUGAACCCCGGUCUGGUCACUCCAGUAGGCUCUCCCUCCCGUCUCUCGAGAAUGCUUUCGAGGAAAAGUUUUGGUAUAUUCUUAAACGAAAGUAGGCUCCCCGUGGGAUUCAUCGGAUCUAAGGAUUCGGGCAUAUCCGCCCCCAUCACAUCGAUAAUAGUUUGAUCUUGAGCUCGCCUACUCAUUUUGGACUUCAUGCCAUAAUUUACGAUCGUCCUCUCAAUUCUCUUAUUGAUAAUUUUGUCAUUGUUCUCAGUACAAAUUCAUUUUCCCUCGAACUUUUCUCUUUUUGACUCUAAUAACAAACGAAACAAGAAUAUUUCCAUGCAUUCGCUAGCAUGUGUAUAACUCAACGUUUUGAAAAUUCAUUAUAUAUCUCGCGAACCCAAUAAACCAUUUGAAGUAAAGGUCUUUGGCAUAUGUAGAUAGUUCUGAUCUGAAUAAGGCCACACACAGUUGGUGAAUUUGAACCAAUAAUCUCUGACUUCUGAUAUUGAAUUAUCCAUACACGCAAACUAAUUAGGAGAAUCUCGGGGGUUUGAAAAUUAUUGAGGAAAUGCGUUUGUCAGGGGUCGAGUCCUUGUCUAUUCCAGGCUGCGUUUUACUCCGUUGCUUCUUCCGUCGUUCCAUUUCGUAUAGUCCACGUUAGGUCGCCGCUAGGCGUCGCGGUAGAGGUCCAUGGUCGGUUGAAGACCGCGAUCUCUUAAGUUCGAUGACGUGGUCCGAGCGUUUGCGGACCGACCCCAACUCGCUGGUCCUCUCCCACACCAUGCGAAGCUUCUCGCCGGUCGCAGUCAGGAUGAUGACAGGCCGGUGCAAUUGCUGUUGGACAUGGACUUCUAAAUCGAAGGGGACCAAUGCAGGGAUUCCGUAAAGCAAGAGAGAUGGAGUUAAGAGGGGGACCUUCACGGGCAAUUAAUUCUAGACCAACACGAUGGCAACAGGACACCUAAAGGCUAGAGAGCUCGACAACGAACCCGAACCCGAACCCGAACCCAGACGCGGUCCUCUUUUGGGUAUGCCUCUGAUCGCUCUGAGCUUGCUUCGCAUGCGUCCCGCGAGACGAGCAUAACCAUGGAGAUACCGGAGUUGUUUUGCAUCUUCAUUUGAAGGAAAAUCAUUGAGACCUGUAUCUGUUUGAUGAAUAGAAAUGGGAUCGUGUUAGGGACGUUCCCUUAAACAGGAUCCGAUCAAGACAAAUCGAGGGGGAGCUAAUGAUUUCGUGGACCACACCGGAUCUGAUUCGCGGGGCCAAUGACGAAGACUCAUUGAUAGAAUAAAAUCAAGGUAUUAGGACCUUCUGCCCUAACCACGAAGGCCCGGAGGCUUCCAGAAAGAAGCUAUCCAUGUUCGUCAUAGAUGGUCCAAACAAAAGAGACGUGCAGACAUAAUAAAUAUUAGGGGCAUAUAUUGGUCUUGAUCCAACCCGAGAACCGGAUGGGAUUGGAAUGGACUAAAACGGUAAGUCAUGGGUGGUUCACAGUUUCAAAAACAGUAUGGAUCGACAAACCAGCUAGGAUUUCUCAAAUAUUUUUAAUUCUUUAUCAUGAAGAAAAUCCUAAUUAAUAAAUUAUUUUUUUCUUCUUUUACUGUUGGAAACUUCCACUUAAUGAGAAUAGAAGAAACAAAAGAAGAAAAAGAAGAAAUCACCGACCCUAGAACCAUACCAAACCCAUAGUCUGGUCCAGUUUAGUUCUAGAACUAGAUGGGCCAGUUUUUGGUUUCACAAAUUAGGAACCGAUCUUACCCGCUUUGGUUGCAAGUUUUAAGAUGGGAACCAAUCCAUCUUGGAACCAAUUACUUUUACUAAAUCUACCUGUCAUUGAAGUCAAUUGAAUGACGUGUCUACCAACCAAAAAUAAAAAAUAAAAAUGCAAGUGUUUACCCAAGAAAUAAAAUUGGCUUGUAGCAACCUUAUAUUAUGAAACGAAGUAAAAUGGAUUGAAAAGUUACAUGAAAUUACUCUCAAGCGAAGAAAUAAAUCCAUUUUAUGUCAUUCCAUCUCUUCUUCCUCCAUGUAUGUAUACAAACCAUCAAUUUUUGAAAAUCCUCUCUCUUCUUCUCGAAUCUCUUCUAUCGUAUUACUCCAUAUUUUUAUUUAAAUAGUGUUUCACUUUCACCACGAAACUUACCCCAAUCGAUAGCUCAUUUUAUAAUGAUGUGUAAAAAAAAAAUUGAAAGCCCGGCCCUACUCGAAAUCCCGUGGCCAGAAAUGAAUGGGCCGGUCUUGGGGCCCUUUUUACCUGGUUUCGGGUGGACCGAAAUAAUAGACAAUAAAAACAAAGUUUUGUUUCGAAAGAAAAAUCUUCCACUCCAAAAGUCGUGAUUAUAAACUAUUUAAAAUUGUUAAGGUAGACAUUAUCUAGAUAACAAAUAGCCGUACUAAAUUGAUUUUAUGAAUAACCAUCCAACCUAUAACAUUUCCAAUUGCAAUCAAAAGCUGAAAAAAAGUUUACAAAAUAUAACAUAUUCAAAAAUAUAUUUCCUUGACAAAAUUACCAUAACAGAUCAAACUUUAUGAUAUUAGAUAUAUCGAAUUUCAUGCAUGAAGGAAUUUUAUCAUAUCGAAGAAGUUUCUUCUUGCCUAUACCUUACGAGACAGCAAUUUUUCAAUUAUAUUAAAUAAAAGUCAAAUGUCGAUUAAAUACAUCAAGCAAUCAUUAAAUUUGCCACUUCGCUUGCGUGAGAUUAAGAAAACUAAACCCUUAAAUAGAAAAUAAAAAACCAUUAGUCAUAAAAGGAAAAUCUAAUUUGGAACAAUUUUUCCUCCAACGAUUUCACACAAGUAGAGAUGCAAAACACUACAACGAAAAAUGAUGAAGUUACUUUAACUUUGAUUUUGAUAAAAAGUUAUUGUGAUAGUAGCAAUAGGCGACAUUUAAUAUGAAAAAAACUUUUCAUCGUUGAAAAACAACGAAUUUAUUUUUUUAAGUUACUGAAUGAUAAAAAAAUAAAUUGUUAUCCCUUAAUUUUCUUUAGGAUCAACCGUUUCCAAAGUGGAUAGGUUCCAAGGAACCUACUUUGUUGAGACUAGUUUCUAAUAUUUUGGAAUUUAGAACCUAUCAUGUAGACUUUGGAACCAUAUUUGGAAAUGACCCUAUCGAUUUGGUCCGGUCCUAAGUUACCUAGGAAUAAGCCAAUUUUUCUUAUUUUCUUUAUUCAUUGAAAGAACAAAUUAUCGUAAAACAUCUCUCCUUAUUUACAAUCAAGACAAAUAACUGUUAUAGCAAAAUAGAAGAGCAAUAAAAUAGCAAGAAGUACUAUACAAAACAAAGAGAAAUAUAAAGCAAUCGGAAGUGUCCAACUCAUUCCUUAGACAAGCAAAAUGAAAGUUAAAGCAACAAUAGAAAUUCCAAUUCAUCAAAAGUAACAAUCCAUAAAAGAUGAAAAAACUAUGGAAUCUUUAGCUAAGUUACGUGAAGUGUUGAAAGCCAUUGACAAUUUGAAAGAAUUUAAUUAUUCGAGAGAGGUGGAGAUCGAACAAUGCAUGUCCUCAAAAAAGUUUAUUUAAUGUGCAUGCAUUCAUCGAGUUGGAGACAGAUUGGCCGCCACCAGAUGUUGCAGAACACACCAUUCAGCUAGGAAGCAAUUGUGACUUUCGGUAUUGUAGGACAAAUAAGCUCAUCUAAAAAAAGUACAGGAACUUUCGUUGAAUGAGCACGAAAGAUAUGCAAGUCAAGAGUGAGUGGUUUUAGGGUGGGUAGGUAUCAAAUUUGAGGUGGUUACAGACUUGGAAUCUAAAACCUAUCAUGUCGAGAUCAAUUCCUAACUUGUCGAAUCAGAAACCUACAAUGCGGACCCUAGAACCGGAUCAAAAUCGGUCCAGUCCGAUUCCAUGGUUUACCCAAGACCAUUGUUCACCCCUACUUUUGUUGACAAGUGUGGAAAUUGGGUACUUACAUAUUAGCCCAAAGGAGCGCAAUCCUGUCACCAACCCAGCCCACCAUCGGACGGGGCCCACAGGAGCGCAAGAACCUGUUUCCGCCAUUUUCACCCAAAUUUCAAUUUCAAAGCGCAAAAGCAUCAACUCCUCCAUUCCUUCAUCCUUCAUCCGUUCAUCGAUCGCGAUCCUCAAUCCCAUCAUCCUCUCUCUCUCCCUCCCCUUUUGCCGCUUCUCGCCAUGGAUGUUCAGCCCGCGCAGGUUCCAGGUACGCCCUCUCUUCGUCCUUCUUCCGCCACGUUUACUUCUUUUCCCUCCGGUCACGUUGGUCUUACCGUACGAAGCAGGGAAGCCUCAGCCGCCGAGACAGAAACCCGGCAGGAAAGCGAACGGGCCGUCGAAGGCCGUCCCCGCCAGAGAUCCUCCGAUUUCCAGGUGGGGGAUUCUUCGCCGCCGCGACUCUCGAGGUCGUAAUUCGAUUUGUUCUUUUGAGUUACGCCCUGUUGGGGUCUCUCCCUUCUUUUUUUUCCAGGCAGAAGCGCGUGUUCGGUACGUCGCGGUGCACCAACGUUCCGGCGAAACCGGCGACGGAGAAACAACCCGCUGCGAAACCCUCGACGGGGGUUGGCCGGAAACGGGUCCAGUCGGCGCCGAAAAGCCCACCCACCGUCGGUGCCGCUCUAGCAUCGGCUGCGGAGAAGACGUCUCCGGAGAGAGAGAAGCCUGAGCCGAGGAAGAAGAGCGUUUGCUUCGAAGAGGAAUCGCCUGAGAAUUUGGGCGAUGCGCCGGCAGAGAAAACGUCUCCUGAGAGAGCGGACUUCAAGCCGAAGAAGAAGAGCGUUUGCUUUGAAGAGAAAUCGCCUAAGAAUUCGGGCGAUGCGCCCGCGGAGAAAGCGUCUUCGGAGAGAGCGAACCCUAAGCCGAAGAAGAAGAGCGUUUGCUUCGAAGAGAAAUCGCCUAAGAAUUUGGGCGACGAGAGCGCGGUCGGGCCUCGGACCCCGGUCCAAGCGCCUUUUGCUGCCGUGGCAAAGCCGAGGAGGUCCGGGACGCCCUAUUACACAGCCGAGAAUUGCAGCAAGUGCAGGUUCGAUCGGCUGGAGACCGCUUCGUACUGGCUUGGCCAGAUCAAGCUGGCAGAGCCUGUCGGGAAGCAUUUCGUCUCGGCGAGUUUCUUUCGGAUGGCUCUGGAAUGCAAGGCCGAGGUACACGUUUUUCAUGAAGAAAACUGUAUAAUUCAUGCAUGUUCUGGGAACAUUAGCAUUAGAGAUCGUUCGUGUAUACCCUAUUAUAAUCAUGGGGCAUGGCAGCAGCAGGAAACAAGUCUUUUUAGCUGAUAGCAAUCAUGCAAAAGCAGCUUAAGAAGAACUUCUAAUCUUUUAAACUGCAACUGAUGGUAAAUCAUCUCUGCUGAUGGAGGCAAAUGAGUUCAUGGAAGUUUCACUUAUCUGUAGAGUGGCAAUACUCUGCAGAAGAUGGUUGCUUGAGAUUUUAAAUUUCUGGGCAAACAUAUAGUAUUUGGUCUAAAAGCUUACGAUUUCAAGCACUUAUAACCUAAAAUGUGAAUCUGAAGUAGUCAUAAUUUUGGUUCCCUCAUGUUCAUGAUGCCCUCUUCAUCGGUUUCUGAUUUAGUCCUUUCCUUCGUGCUCUGCAUCUGUCAGCCCAUCCGGAACCUGCGCAUCGAGCUGAAGCGUUACUUGUCACGGCACCUGCACUUAUCGGAAGAGGAAGAGUGGAGAAACCUGUCUCUCGGCUAUGGAAUCCUGAAGGAUGAGCCCAAUUCAGGUCCCCAAAAUCCAGAUUGCAGGGAAGCCAGUGUGAGGCUGAGCAUCGAAAGCAACCGUGAUGAUGAUCGAGAACAUCAGGAUACAGAGGACGAGCUCAUCGACUUGAAGGAGGAAUAGGUGGAUUAGUCUUGAGAUUGCAAUAUCAUCUAGUCGGUCGGUCUUUUGUGUAUUUGGCUUCGAAUUAAGCAAUCUUUUGCUUUCUGGGUUUUGUCCAAGAAUCGAUAUAUACAUAUAUAUGUUAGUUUUCGCGCUAGAACUUUUGAGCGAUGAUGAGAUGUCUGAAAUAUGAGAUGCUAGCGCAACUGAAGUGAACUAUAGCACAGUGUAGUUUAAUAACACAGUUCAGACUUCAGAUGUUUGUCUUUGGGAUAUACAUUUGGUUUGAUGCUUGAUCUCUAUGCCGAGAACCGAAACUUGCAGGCCCUUCAUUGAAGAAUCAUGAAUUAUACCUUGACUAAGGUUUUUUUUUUUUUUGAUGACUGAGGAAUUGCCGGAGAUCACAUGACCUUUUGGUGCUCGGUAGCACCGGUGGGGCCUUCUUGUAAGCCGUUAUUUAUACGUAAAUGUUCGGGAACUGACUUAGUAAACCACUCUUAGGACUUCUACUUAAGUCACGAAUAUCUGGAGAUCCGAACCUGUUCCCUCGACGAUGAGGUAGUGGAGCUCAAUCAUCACGAACAUUAUAGUUGAUAUCUUUCAUUGGGUUUGGAUUUUUAUUUUUUGGUAAAUAUAAGUAAAUGCAAUACAAAUUAACAUCUAAAAUCUAUUAUCCUACUUUAUCACUUAACAAUAUAUGAAUCAACUCUCUAAAAGGAUUGGCAACCCAAUUGGUAGGACUUCUUCCCAAAAGUUAUGUUGUACUAUUUACUCAAAAUAAGAGUUCAACAUUCCUCUAAUGUUUUCCAGCAUAACAGGUCCAAUGCUAUCCACCAUGGUCUCUUUAUUGAUGGGUUCAAUAAUAACUUUCGAGUCCAUCUCAAUGAUAAGCUCAACAGUAGGUUAGAUUUUACUCAUCUAAAAUGGAAAAAAAAGUCACAGAAAAAAAUCCGUAUCAUAAAAAAGAGAAAAUGGAUUACGUGCAAUAAAGAAUACUGACGGCAAUCGUAAUUUCAUUAUAUCUAUACUUGAUUUAUGUUAGCUCUCGAAACAUUAAAAAAGAAAAAAAUAUUGCUAGUAUAAAAAAUAAUUACGCACGAAAUAAUCUAGAGAUUAAAAUUGCAUGCGAUUAGUACAAACUUCAUCAGUUAGUUUUCAGGUUUGAUAUAAAUGAAUUCUUUUUGAACCAAAAAAGAAAUAUCUUUACCGUGUUAAGUUAUAUCUUAUCUCUCGAUAGUAAACUAAGAAGAGAUUAAUUUUUUUAUCUGCGAAAGGAAAAAGAAGAUUUGGACAGGAAUUAAAAAGAAAAAGACAAGGAAAAUGGAAAAACUCCUUUUGGGGGGGGGGGGGGGGGGGGCUUUUGUUCUUUUAAUCGGUUCCAGAACCUCCGUAAAAAGAGAAAAAUGAAAAUGAAAAAGAAAAGCGAGGCUCCAUUUUUGAAUCCGACUUAGGAGCUGCUGCUGCUUCUCCGGAGCUCUCCAACCAGAGCGCUCGACCGGCGGCGACGGCGGCGGCGGCGGCGAGGACCUCGUGUCGUCACCGAUGACUUGAACGAGGAAAACCGUUCUCUCUCUCUCUCUCUGUCGCUCGCUCGCUCGUGGUCAGAAGAUGGAAGGAGGCGGCCGAGACAAAGCAUCGCCGCCGCAGGCGACGGCGAAGCCGAGCAAGUUCGUCGUGUACCAGAACCCGGCCUUGGCGGCCGCCCUCGCGGCCAACAGCCUCGUGCCUUCGAAGCUCGCCCUCCUCUCCGCCUUCUUCUUCUCCUCCGCCAGCGCCUUCGCCUUCCUCUCCUUCUCUUCCAGGUACGCGCCGCGCCCCCGGCGGGGGCGUUUUGCCGUCUAUUUUCCUGGUUCGUGAUCCGGAUUUCGGAAGCUAGAGGACGGCUGACAGUCUUCGUGAGCCUGCACGUUUGCAUUUCCGACCGGGAAUCGUGUCCUAUUGCGUGCUUCAGUUGGUCACGUUUCGCUCGUUGCAUUGGGGUUUAGGUCAAUGGCGCUGAUUUGCUAUCUCGCUGUAGUACGACUGAUGUUUUCUUUUCUUUUUGGUGCUUGAAAUUGCCGUGGCUUCGUUUGCACUUGGUAGAGAGAAAUGAUGAAUAUUUGGGACGGUUUAGGGUUUUUGAGCGGGGUUUUAGAGGGGGAGCUUAGCUCCAGGAUUUUGGAACUGAUGGACAUUACGGUCUGAUGGUUACUCUUUGCAGUGCAAGUAGUAUUUCCUUGACAUUAUGCGUGCCUCCGAAGGUAUUGAAACUACUGAAGAGUUUUGAGUUUAUCCUUUGAUUGGGGGAAAGUGAAUCCUGGUGCAAAUAGAAUUUGCCUUGACGUUAGUUGGGGCAUUGUGAAGCUGAUUUCUUUCUCUUACUGAAUUGAGGGUAUUUGAACCUGAUCUGAACAAAACUAGAUGAUGAUUUUCAAAGCAACAAGAGUGAGAAAUGAAGUAGAAAUAUGAUUGACGAUGUCUCUAGCUUACACCACCCUAGCUGGCACCCGUGUCCUUCAGCAAUCAAGACAUUGAGUUUCUCUCUUUGGACUGGGGACUGCUGCAAAUGAAACACCCGGGAUCCAGCGCUUUUGCCUUUGCCCCUUUCUCCCCGGAUCCACCAUAACCAUACUCAAUUUCAUCCCUUGUGUAAGGCCGAAGCUGGUUGGUCCCGGGGCAAUGAAAUUAUUUGACAGAAUGAACUAUCAUGAAAUUCCAUUUUAUGUUGAGCUAUUUGUUUGAUUGCCAGCCAGAGAAUCCAUAUUAGUAUUAAGGUUUGAUGCUUUAUCCCCAGUGAGAAAUGUCCGUUCUUGUCCAAUGUCAGUAGCCAUCCUUCUCCUUUCAAUUUCUGCAGUUGACUAGUUACUUCCUUGAAUUUGUGAAGGGAGGAUGGGUUUAUUGACUAUCUGAAGCUCAAAAAUCUGUCUGAGGAGACAGCUUGUAAGUCAUUCUGUUUGAGCCUUAUUGUCUUAUAUUUGUUUAAUAUGCAUGCUGAUUUUUGGUGCUUUUGGAUAAUACCGUUUCCCCCCUCCAGAUUUUCUUGCCAAGAUCCUGCAGACUGCUGUGGCUGUACUUUUUCUGGGGGCUCUGCUUGCGCUCUUUAAAGCAAUAUCUCUGCAUAUAUCCAAAAAAAGAGGAGCGCCUUUUGUAUCCCCCUCUACUGGAACCAAGGAUCAACCUACUCUUUCAACACGCCAGUUAGCACUUUUGGGGUUAAAGCCGAGGGCCAAUCAGGUUGGGUCUGAACCAUCAAGGAAGCCUCCCAAAUCCAAAACCCAUUCAACACCUAGUUCGGAGCUUCUUGUCCCACUUCAUCAAACUAUCACCAGUUCAAAUCGUUCAUCUCGAAUUAGCACGGAUAAAUUGAAUUCUAGCGGAGGAAGCAAGGGUAGACCAAUCGGCACCCCAUCCAAAUCGCCAGGUUCUUCUUCUUUGUAUCUUGUGCCUGGAGCUGUCUCGCCGCUACCUUCCUCUCAACACUCACCUGGUCCUGAUUCUGUUGUCUCAAGUCCAUGGUUGAGUAAUCGAGCAUCUCCUAUGAAGGACAUCAGAUCAGAAGAGAAACUUGAACAGUUUUUGGCGGAAGUUGAUGAGAAGAUCUCUGAAUCAGCUGGGAAAUUGGUGACUCCACCUCCUACGAUCAAGGGUUUUGGCAUAACAAGUCCAAACACUGUAGUCAGUUCGGCUAAUAAUUCUGGAACUACAAGAAGCACUCCUCUGAGGCCAGUGAGGAUGUCUCCUGGCUCUCAAAAGUUCAGCACACCUCCCAAGAAAGGAGAGGGUGACCUUCCUUCACCAAUGUCAUUGGAAGAGGCAGUAGAAGCUUUUGAACACCUCGGUAUCUACCCUGAAAUUGAGUUGUGGCGUGACCAUCUCAGGCAGUGGUUUUCUUCAGUUUUGCUCAACCCUCUGCUUAAAAAGAUCGAAAGCAGUCACGUUCAGGUCUGUCAUCCUUACAGCCCAUUUUGCUAACAACUAUAUCAAGAAGAAUUAUGAUUAUAUUGUUUAUUUUAAAGCUUAUAAGUCAUCCCUGGGACCAUGAGGAACUUCAAUGUCCAUUUGAAUGAAAAGGUAGUUCACUGCAGUUUCAAUUAUAGUGUAUGUUUUGUCUAUGCUCACAGGAUGUAUAUUUAGCAUUAAGAUUGUCCAUAUAUGUACCAAAAGAGAUGAUUUUUCAAUUUAUGUUGGCAAUGAGUGAGUGAUGUACAUUUUCAACAACAAAUUUGGGAGAUUUCAGAUACUGACAAGGUGCUCUUGUAACAUAUGUGAUUAGACUGGGGCCUUUGGGGAUGUGUUGGUGAGCUUUACUAGGCUUUCACGUGUUAUGUUUAAUGGGUUAGUCUUCAUAUCUGGCUGUGGAGAUUUUAGUGGUCUUUUUGGUUGAGUUUGACCUCUUGAGAUUGCUUUGAACAAAAUGAAACGAAUAAUAAUAGAUAUCCACUGGGAAAAAUGUAGGAAAAUGGAAAGGAAAUGAUGUUACCUCACUUCUUAAUGGCAUAAGGUUUACCAUAGUUGGGCACAGCAUCAUUUUACCCGUUCUUACAAUUUUCCCGGUUCACUCUAGAUAUAACAGGCUGGUUGCAGUUAUCCCAAAUUUUGGCUACCGAUCAGAAUGUGAUGGCUAGAGUUAGGCGCCAAAACUCAUUAGGCCCACUCAUCACCACCUAAAUAAAUAAUGCCAUUCAACAAUCCCAUUCAAUCACUUGGUCAUCCACAAAAUUUAAUCUUAAGAAUGUUAUUAAAAUUUAAGGUCAGAGCCCAAUUCAGAUGAAUUAACCACUCAAUAACGACAAUAUUUCCUUCUGAAAUGGCAAUGAAAUCAUGAGUGGUCUAGUGACAAAGUUUCUGAAUAUUUUUCCACUGUCUGUUAACAUUUUAAGCAUAUUCUAAGAAUUUAUUCACUUUGAGGGACAAAUUGAGACAAACCCCAAAUAUCAGGAGCAAAAAUUUACCUAGCUUCACCAUCCUUUAGACAUAGCUUUAGCUAUCCUGAUUUUAGUUGAUGCUGAUUUUAGGUGAUGGAAGGUGCAGCGAAGUUUGGAGUUUCGAUCACAGUCAGUCAAGUGGGAGAAGUACGUGUAUCUGGGACUUCUACUGUCUCUCAGAUUGACAGGAGUAAAGAAUGGUCACCUACUUAUACUCUGGAUGAAGAUGGACUUCUUCACCAGCUACGCGCUACUCUUGUUCAAGCUCUUGAUGCUGCCACGCGUAAGUAUCACCCUAAUUGCUUUUAUACAAUUCUGCGAACUCAAGCUCCUGAGUGUUACCAUGUGGGAUUAAUGCAUUAAAAAAGCCCUUACUGUCACCUGUCUUUAACCAAAUUAUAAUAUAACUAUGCUUCUUGGUCCUAUUUUAUUGUUGGAAAAAAAUUUGAGCUGGGUUCAUACUUUAUUUUCCUUUCUAUUGUUUAAGAGAGUGCUGUGAAGCCAAAUCACUAAGGUGGCUCAUUAUGUUUUGUACUUAUUGUAUCAUCGAUUUUUGCAUUAAAAAAGCCCUGACAUUUACCUGUCUCUAACCAAAUUAUAAAAUAAUUAUGGUUCUUUCUUCUAGGUUUUAUUGUUGGAGAAAUUUAAGCGGGGUUUCUCUUCCUUUUUGUUAAGAGAGUGCCGUGAAGCCAAAUCACUAAUGUGGCUUUUUAAGUUUUGUACUUAUCGUAUCAUUGAUUUCCGCAUUACAUUUGUUUUGCGGGUGAGAGAAUGGCAUGCAAUUUGUUGUGUUAAUUAAAAUGGCUAAAUCCAUCUGUUUCUACUAGCUUUAUUUGGUUAUUUAUUUAUUUUUUAUGUUGUUCAUGCAGCAAAGCAGCUUGUAGCCAAUUUGCAACAGCCUCCUCUGCAAAAUCCGUUGAUUCCUCUGAUGCAGGAGUGUGUUGAUGCUGUAACUGAGCAUCAGAGGCUUCAGGCAUUGCUAAAGGGAGAAUUGAUUAAAGGUGUGCUACCCCAGAGCAGUGUUCGUGCUGAUUACGUGGUACAGAGAAUACGAGGUAUGCAGAUUUUUUUUCCAAAGGUAUAUUGCCUUUCAUGGACUCUGCUUGAUAAGAAGAAGAGAAUGUUUUUACCUUUUAGUGGCCAGAUCCUGGACUUUACAACUUAGACUCGGUGUCUUUCCCUCUUGAACAGAGCUUGCUGUGGGAACCUGCGUGAAGAACUAUGAUUUUCUCGGAAGUGGAGAGGUUUAUGGUCAGAUGAAAAAGAAGUGGACUCCUGAUGUCCCCACUGAUUCUCAUCUGCUCUUGUAUCUAUUCUGUGCAUUCUUGGAGCACCCCAAGUGGAUGCUACAUGUUGAUCCUACAUCUUACACUGGAGCACAGUCCAGCAAAAAUCCCCUGUUUUUGGGAGUUUUGCCUCCAAAAGAGAGGUUUCCAGAGAAGUAUGUUGCUGCCGUAUCAACUGUCCCUUCUGUUCUUCAUCCAGGAGCUUGUAUCCUGGUUGUAGGAAAACAAAAUCCUCCUGUCUUUGCCUUGUAUUGGGAUAAGAAGCUGCAAUUCUCUCUUCAGGUAAGCUCAAGAUAUCUUGGUCUGCAAUUUAAAUAUCCAGAAGGGUUGACUAUCUAGGGUAAAUGCAAUUUGACAUUAUUGCUAGGAUUUUCUGGAGUAUGAUGGUUAAAACAAUAGCAAAGCACACCGUAGGAUGAGUGUCUAAUUAUUGACACUGAUCUCGUUGUAUCAAUGUGCGAUCUAUGGUGCCACUAAUGAAAUGGGGGAGCGUUACCCUUGACUAUUGGGCUGAGUUGACACAUUACUAGAGUCAAGGUUUUGCACGCCCAAUCCACCAAUGUGUUUGUAAGCCUGCUGAAUUUUGUAAAUGGCAUAAUCCUAUUGCCUGCCGCGAAAACUUUCUGCUUACGUAAUUUGUCCUCCUUCACAUGAUGUAAUGAAAAGAAUACUUCUGGCUUUUAUUUGCAGGGAAGGACAGCAAUGUGGGAUUCUAUCUUGCUCCUAUGCCACAGGAUAAAUGUCGGGUAUGGAGGUAUAGUUCGUGGCAUGCAUCUGGGUUCGUCAGCCUUGAGCCUCCUCCCUGUUUUCAAUGCGGAUAAUGAGAACUGAGAUCUUGUUUCGGGAACCACUAGAGAAACAGUUUUGCAAAUGCGCCGGCAUCAUGGCAGGAUCACACAUUCGAUUCAGAGCUCGCCCGCCUUCAAAAAUGGUUUCUUGUGAAUGAGCCGCCACAUUUGCACAGUUUUGGUCCGACCGUAUUUAGUGGUCCAACGCGAAUUGGAUUACCCCCGCUGUAGGGUAUUGUAAUUUAGCAUGCUAACAACUCGGCGUAACUUUCAGGCAACGUUUCUUCACUGCUUUGGUUAGAACCUUAAAACCUUCGUUGAUUGUCAAGACUUUUGGGAAAUGUUUUCUUGAUACAACGCCUAAAGCAAACCUGCGGUGGAAUCGUUGGACACAAUGUUAGUAUUGCAUCAAUGUUAUGGUCCUACGUACCUUGUGUGUCCUAACCAUAUAAGUCUCGUUGACAAAAAGAACAUUGCUAACCCAACAGUCGACAAUAAAUAACUUAGGCUACAUUUGGUCGCUCGGAAUUCUAAUCAAGAUAUGUCUGGAUAUGAUAGAAUAUGAAAUAUUGUGAUUUUUUUAUGUUCUGUCCAUUGUUUGGUGAAUCAUAUUAUUAAAGUCAAAUAUGUUCAUAUAUCAUGUACAUUUUUUUAUAAACGGCAUAUCAUUGUAAAUGAAUUUAAAUGUUUAUAAAUGGAGAUGGUGAAAAUUUCUGAUAACACUAUUUCUUAAUUUGUUUUUAUUUUAUUUUUCCUUUGUUUUAUAUCAUUUUCUCUAUUAUUUCGUUUUUCUCCUUUCAUUAUUCUUUAAUAAAAUUUUAUCAAAUAGUAAAUUGUACUAACAUACAUAAAAUACAAAAAAUAUAUAUAAUAAAUAUAAAUAUUUAAUUUAUAAAUUGAAUGUUUAUUAUAAAAAAGAAUUAAAGUUGAAUAUAUAAAAGAAAAUAAGAUUAAUUAAGAAUAUUUUUUUAAUUUUUAAUUUCUUAAAUCAGAAUUCAAAUAUUAUUUAUUUCGAAAUAUAAUUUCAAAUUUUUUUUAAUUUAAUAAGUUUGUUAUUCGAGAAUAUUAUAAAUCUUGUCUAUCUUUUUAUUCCACCUCUCCAAUAGGAUAAUUUUAUCUUGUUAAUAUCCUCUUAUAUCCAAUGUUAUCCUGUCUUGAGCGAGCACCAAACGUAGGAUAUGAUAUCAUAUCUUAUCUCAAAUUUUAUUCCAACUGUUAAACGCAGCUUUAAUGCUUGUGGCUCUCAUUUCAAGUCAUUAAUUUCUACUAGCGACUUGUUUUAUUUAUGCCGUUAUCAAAUAUGGUACUUGGCUGAAUAAGAUAUUAACUAAUUUCUCGGAAAGACUCGGUUAAGCGUGUCAAUUUCAAGUUAGUCAAGUUCGAGUGAAUCAUAUUCUCAUGGUGCAUAAAACUCAUUUUCACUACAAAGAUUUCACUAUAAUCUAAUUGAUGUCAGAGUUCCUCCUUAUGUCCAGACUAUCGUGAUUUAUGAAUAUGAUAAAAAAAUAUUUCAGAACUAUGGUAAAGUGUUUCGAUUUAGGGAUGUGAUGAUAUAUACUCUAAAAACUAUAUAGCUUCUUAAACCCCUCAUUUUUGCAAUUAGGGCUCGAUCGUCACGAAUAACUCUCUCUCUCUCUCUUCCCCAUUUGCGGCGCCUAUCACACUUCAGUAACUCAACUUCCCACCGCUGCAUGCGCCGAUCGGAAGAGGUCCUGGUGACGACAUCGACUCGAACGAAGCAAAACGUCGAGCACUGCGAACGCUUCUUCUAGACAACACGCCGCCGCCGCCGCCGCCUCGGUCUUGAUCCACAUUCGAUCGGGUCCGCCGUCGGCGAUUCCGGCGAUCGAGAAAUAAGGGGGGGGGGGGGGAGCGGGGUUCUCACCACCGUUCGCGGGCGGCGGCGGCGGCGGCAUGAACAACGGCGAGGGGAGGCGGCUGGCCGGGCAGGCGGAGGAGGAGGACGACGAGGAUGACGUCGACGAGUGCGGCCUCGAGGCGUGGGAGCGGGCCUACGCCGACGAGCGGUCCUGGGAGUCUCUUCAGGAGGACGAGUCCGGCCUGCUCCGCUCGAUCGACAACAAGGCCCUCUACCAUGCCCAGUACCGGAGGCGCCUGCGCUCCCUCGCUUCGAGCAAUGCGGCUUCUCGGAUUCAGAAGGGCCUGAUCCGGUACCUCUGCAUCGUCAUCGACCUCUCCAGGGUAAAUGAUCUCGUGCUGCUUCUCCGAGGGCCAUUUAUACGAUGACGAAAUUUGGCUUUUUUUCUUUUUUAGCUGAAGAGCAUUGCAGUGCAGCAUUUAAUUGCCAGUAUCAAAUUGUAAAGGAAACUGAAUCUUUCUCAUUCAUGUCAAUGCAUUCCCAUAGUGAAUUCGGACUGGUUGGUUGAUUGAUCUAAGAAACAAACUAUUACCCUUGAUAUGUAGCUGCCAAUUUUUAGAAUUUUGCAUUUCUUACAUGGCUGGGAAACCCGAGCACUACUAAAAAUGCGUCCUUUAUGCUGGAGAUGGCUCUGGGUCAUUGAAUUUUGUUUUGUUGUCUGCAUUUCGUGAUUCUCUUGAAAAGUCAUGAAUUAAAAAUUUCUGUGUAGGCUGCCUCGGAGACGGAUUUUCGACCAAGCCGUAUGGCCGUCGUUGCAAAAAAUGUCGAGGCUUUUAUCCGGGAAUUCUUCGACCAGAAUCCACUAAGUCAAAUAGGUUUAGUUACCAUAAAAGAUGGGGUUGCUAAUUGCUUGACGGAUCUUGGUGGAAGUCCUGAAUCCCAUAUUAAAGCUCUGAUGGGCAAGUUGGAGUGCUCGGGCGAUUCCUCGUUGCAGAAUGCCUUAGAUCUUGUUUGUGGAUAUCUGGAACAGAUUCCAUCGUACGGUCAUCGGGAAGUGCUGAUAUUGAAUUCAGCCCUAAGCACUUGUGACCCUGGAGAUAUUAUGGAGACCAUUCAGAAAUGCAAAAAGUCAAAAGUCAGGUGUUCUGUUAUUGGUCUUUCUGCUGAAAUUUUCAUAUGCAAACACAUCUGCCAGGAAACCGGGGGACUAUACUCUGUUGCGGUGGAUGAGGUAAGUUAAUCUAAGUAUUUCUCCAUUCUGACUGAUUCCACAGCACUUGGCUAAUCGUUUUAGAACAAGAAACAUGAUAGACAAGGAAGUGGGGAGAUUCAUUGGUGUUCCAUUUUUGCGCAUGGGUUAAUGAGAUGCAAUGCUUUCUUGGAUCAUUGCUCAUAAAAUUGUGACUCCCAUCUAUUAGUUCGGUUGUCUCAUGAAAAAUAUAGAUGGAUACUUACGUAAGACAUUUUAUCUUUAUUUACUCAUGCAGUCUCACUUUAAGGAGUUGAUCCUGGAGCAUGCACCUCCUCCUCCAGCAAUAGCAGAGUUUGCAAUUGCUAAUUUGAUCAAGAUGGGUUUCCCCCAAAGAGCAGCAGAAAAUGUAAUUUCAAUUUGUUUGUGCCAUAAAGAGGCUAGGGGCGGAGGAUACACUUGUCCAAGAUGCAAAGCAAGAGUAUGUGAACUACCAACAGAAUGUCGUAUUUGUGGGCUCACCCUUGUUUCUUCUCCCCAUUUGGCGAGGUCGUACCAUCAUCUGUUUCCUAUUGCACCUUUUGACGAGGUUACUCCCGUACGCCUCAGUAGUUCUCAGCACAAGCUACCCAAAUCUUGCUUUGGAUGUCAACAAAGUCUUCUUAAUCCUGGUUAGUAAUCUCAUGACCACCCCAGUCCUGAUUACUUGCGAAUUUAAUAAGCAUGGGAUCACAUUACCUUCCACUAGAUCAGCACAGUAUUUUAUUAGUUGUUGGGGUCCUGAAAUCUGCUCUAGUGCUUGUCUCUCAUCAUUAAGUGCUGAGGCGUAUUCUGUAGGGUGUCUGCUUUUCCUUUUUAUUCUGCUUGAAUCAAAAGUAGAAACUUGAGGAAAGCUGUUUAGACUCGCAAAGAUAUUCAUGACACAACGGAGGUAGGACAUAAGUAAGAGAGUUUACUUUUCACCUUCAUGACAUGAGGCCUGUCCGCCAUGGAUCUCAGCAAUAUCUUAUGCCCGGGGGACAGAGAAGAUGGCCCUGUAGUUAUUCCUUUUGAAGUGUGAUUGACUGAGUUCUUGAUAUUCAUGACCUGAGGUAGGCGGGACAUUAGGAAAAUAUUUACUUCCACCUUCCAUAAGGCCCGUCCACUGUGGACCUUAAUAUCUCAUGCUGGGGGAUAGAGAAAAUAGCCCUGUAGUAAAUUCUUCUGGCUGUUUGACUGAGUUCUUGAUAUUGAGGUGCAUUUUCCUUCAGUGUGUAAUAUUGAUGGGCAUGAUUAAGCAAAAUCUGACACUUGUGGACUUUAUAUUGAAGGUGUGAAAGAAAGAGACUUUGUGCUUAUGUUUGCCUUGAAGCAUGCCUUCUAAAUUUAUUAUAGGUUUGUUAGAGCUAGAGAAGGUCCUAAUCUGUGCAAAUAUAAUAGCAUAGCAUGAAAGGAUAAUUUAUCCCUCUACUUCACUAUUUACUUGCUUAAGAGGAGCUACCCAAAUUUGUGUGUCAGAAGAUUAAGAACUAUAUAGUGAGGAACAGAUGGAUUGGAUUGCCUGGGGACUAUAAGUAUGUCCCAAGUGGUGCUUAUCUGGUCGCAUAGAGCUGGAAGAGAAGCCAUGCUAACAGGCACAUGUAAGCUGGCAUGUUGGUACGGUGUGGUGAUGAAAGACAUGGAAGGGGUUGCCACUAUUUUAUCACAUCAGGCACUGGCCUGUUCUCUUUAGAUGACUACUCUCCUAGAACAUACAUUGGGGUCAUGUUUCUUUGAUCUUAUCUGAGGGGCCAUAUGCUAUUUUAUUUUGUUCAACCUAGAUCUGUUUUUCUGCAAUCAUGUGAUACUACCAGCUUAUGCCUUAAGAUUUGAU